CUAGACUUAUCCAAGUGGGAGACUGUUGGAAUAGUGUCUAAGGCUGUAACUAUAUUAGGCAAGUAUUUGAUCCGGUUGUGCAUGGUCCUUUUGGGUUGCCUUCACCAUAGCAACUUGAUAGGAUGAUUUAUUAAGAGAGAGUAAAUAUUAUUAAUAUAUUAUGAGAAUAAUAUAAUGAAUAAUAUAUUUGUUAUUUGAUUAAUAUAAGUCAUAGAAUUAAUUAGAAUUAAUUUGGUGACUUAAAGAGAUUAAUUAAAUAAAGGGGUAUAAACUGUCAAUUGUUUGAUAGUUAAGCUUUAGACUGUAAAUCCAUUUGGAUAUGCUAUGGACGAAUUCUAAGAGGAUUAGGAUAGCUAAAAUCGUCCAUUAGAGUUAUCUAGGAAUGGAUUUGGAUAGCCUUAAGAGAAGAUUAUCUGAUAGGGACUUAUCUGUAAUCCUUAAGGAGUCUACAAGUAUAAAUAGACCCCAUGGCAUAGGGAAUUCGACACUUCUGAAAAAGCAAGAGAACUCUGGUCGAAUUCCUCCCCUCUCCUCUCUCCCAAAUCAUCCUCCUUGCUUUGGUGUUUGUAAGCCAUUAGAGGAGUGACAUUUGUGACUCUAGAAGCUCCAAGACCUCAAGAUCAACAAGGAACUCAAAGGUAUGAUUCUAGAUCUGUUUCAAUGUUGUUAUUUAACCUAAUUAGUCAUUAGAAGUCUUGGAUUCAAAGCAUGUUUAUUAGAAAGCCUAGAUCCAAGCAUUAGGGUUUUGCAUGCGCACAUAGGAAAGUUCUUAUGGCUAAAACCCAUCACUUUGAACUUAAAUAUCGUUUACAAUUCUUAUAAUAUAACUAAAAAAAAGAUUAUAAUCUUGUCCAUGCAAUACUAUCAUAAUACAUGAUAUACAUUUAACAAAGAAAACAAGUAAUAAGAAAUAUAUAUAUAUAUAUAUAUAUAUAUAUUUAAGUAAAUAAAUACUUUUAUUAAGAUUAUGAUCUUCUUAUACACUCACCUGAUUGUAGGUGAAAGACUCACGACUAAGUCAGUGCCUCGUCCAUCACUUUAGCUUUUCCUUUUAAAAGACCUAUAUACGAAUAUUACUAAAUUUCAAUUAUCGUUUAUAUUAUUUGCGAUGAUAAUAAAAGUAUAUCAACUUCAUCAGUCAUACCAAAAGAAUAUUGAGAUCUAUCAAAUAAAGAAUGACCAGGUACGAUCAUAUUAAAGGUAGGAUCUAUUUGGUAAAAGGAAUACUGUUCGGAUAAUCCACUUUAAACACCUCCUUAGUUCUUGCCUAGACAUCACUCCUGUAAGUAGAUCACUCAGUAUAACGAUUGAUGUUGCUGAUAAACAUUAUUUAUAAGUUUAUAAUAACGACUAUAAACAUAAAUGUAAGUUAUAUUUAAAGCAUAGUAAGUAUACCUCAACUUACAGGUUUUCUAGAGAAAAGGCGGAAAUUGCAUGGGCAUAACUUCGAUACCGAAAGCUCUUUUUAUUGGGACUUCUUUUGUUAUAGAGCUACUAAAACUUGAAAACUCCAAAAGUUGGGCCUCAAGGUUGCAGGAAAGUUUGAGAGAGAAAUGGAAGAAAGUUGUGGAGAAAAUGAGCUGAAAUCGAAGGUUUAUAUAGAAUUUUUUGAAAGGUGCAUCGCGCACUAUACACAUGUUAUUUUCUGGUUGGUCCAGAUCAUCAAGCAUACAGAGGAAGGGAAUCUUCUGGUUGAGGAAGGUCUUGGAUAUCUUGUGGGGCCACGUGUCUCGCCGGGUGUGGUGCUCUUAUCGGGUAUUUUUUGCAUUCUUCAAUAAAUCAUAACAUCCGUAUAUAGGAUCCAUUUACGAUGUUCUUUAUAUCCACGAUUUCAUAUCGAUGAGUAAUAUAACUUUCAUUUGGAACUUGUCGACUAAUUCACACUCUAUUUUUAUUUUACAGUUUGUGAAGGUUUCAUUAUAAAAGAUUUUGCAAUGAACUCCGUUUUCGACGUUCUUUAUAUCGACGAAUUUGUGUUUACAUAGACAUUAGCUUUCAUUUACAAUAUUUUGUCUAACGAGUAACUAAUCUUCGUUUCGUCUUUUAUUACACACAUUGUUAUAUUGUGUCGAACACAAAACUUCAAAAAAUCACAACUUCCUCAUAUGAAGUCAGAUUUUGGUGUUCUUUAGCGGUACUAUGAAAUUUAUUUAGAUUAUUUAUCCUAAAUAAUAUUUUGUUUGUAAUUGUUAUUAUCAGUUUUUGUUACAUUAAUAACUACAGUUAUAUAAAUAUUAUAUCACCAUAAUAUUUAUCCGUAUAACAUAUACAUAGUAAUCAUAUACCAAGAAACUUUGUAAACACCCAACACGUAAGGAUAAUUAUCAUAUAUUUAUUUAUAAUAAAAAUCACAUUAAUUUGCUAACAUAAAUAAGGAUUUAUUGAUGAUAUGUCUUACAAAAAAUAUGGGCAUUACAAUUCUAUAGCCUUAGAAUGCUUGGUUUAGCCUUACUUUAUGUUCCUUGUUUGGUUGUGGGUUUAUGGUUUUUUCAUUUAUUCGACCGUCUAUUUAAUUUUGGGUCACGUAUGAGUUGCAUACACGGGAUGACCAUCGAUGUUAGCAGAGAUUUAAAGCCGUAGAAGAGCAUGGUUAGAAGAAAUCCUAGAAUGAGAAUUUAGGAAUAAUCAAGCAUAGUGACGUGGAAACUUUGGUAUAAUUAUAGGGACGGGUAAGGAUAGGCGAGGAAGGUUGUAUGAGCCCGCACUACUAGAAGCACAAGAUCCGUACAGGGAUCAUGAAUAAUCAUAGAGUUACUAAGAAACUGGUAAAUGAGUGAGUAGUGUGAGCUAGCACUAUGAUCUGGUUUGACCAAUUUCUUUUAUAUCUUUUAGCAUGGUGAUGAAUAGGCCGGGUAAUGGUUUUAGUGUGGGAACGAGUGAUCUGGGAGAUCGGGCUUGAGUGAUGUUUAGAUUUGGGAUUUGAUUGCUAUUAAGGUAUAUGUGAAAGUGAGGUAGAUGAUUCCAGAGGUGUUCGAGUAUAUCAAGACCAAGCUGGUAGCCAUGUUUGAUGAGAGAUAUGUUGUUGUCACUGAUGUUGUUGCCGUUGCCGCUGUCAUCAAUGCUUUUGGGCAACAUAGAGCCCGUUCGGUAACCUACAGUGAGUUUUGUACUACCCAUCCUCCUAAUUUUUAUGGUGGUAUGGAUCCAAUCAUCAGUAUGAGAUGGAUUAUCGAUGUGGAGAGUGCUUUUCGCUUGUGCUUAUGUUUGGAAGUGCUGAAGGCGAAGUUUGCUUUGAACCUUCUCUUAAGUAAGGGAAGGAUUGGUGGGGUAUGGUUUCCAAGACCUUUUCUCCUUAUGAGAGUGAGGCUAUGAAUUGGGAGAGGUUUACUGGUAUGUUUAGAGCAGAGUACGUCCUAUAGGUGGGGAAGGAGCGUUUAGCUGAGGAGUAUUUGUCACCAAAGUUGAUGACGAAGUCAGUGACUGAGAUCAUCAAGAAGUUUACUAAGAGAGUUUUAUUUUAUUAUAAGUAUUCAUCUAGUAAGAUCAUGAAUAUGACUCAAUAUCUAAGCAUGUUGAGGACUGAGAUCAGGAAGUUCAUGGUGAAAUCCAAGUAUCAGACCCUAUUAGAGUUGCAGUCUCAGGCUAGGAGAAGUAGUUGGAGCUUGAGACCUAGAAGAGAGGUAAGAGACAAUCUUCAGUCCAGUCACAACCUGCAACAAAAAAAUCUACAACGGACGAUGUAACAACCCGAAUUUUAACGAAAAUUUUAACUUUUAUACAUAUAAAAAUUAACCACAAUUGUUUCCAAAAUAAUCCCAUUACAUAGCUAUAGUGUUUCAAAAGAUCAUAGUACCAAAAACUAGAUACCGAAAUAUUGGAGAAUGCAUGUCGCGCCAUCAAGCCGAGCCCUUGCCCUUAGAACAAGAAGUACCUGAAACAUCCACCAAAACUGUUAGCACACACUUAGUGAGUUUCCUAAAACAUGCAAACAUAAACUCACAUAAUAUCAUGCACACAUACAUAUAAGUUUGCCAUGGACUCCCUCCAUGGUCUCCGUUGGAAUGUCAUGGGCUACCCUUAUGGUCUUAUAUCCCCGAGCCAUGGGCUCUUCCCAUGGUCUUGCCAUGGGCAACUCCCAUUGUCUAUACAUAAUUCCACAUAUAGAUCAAAGCAGCAAACAAUUACAUUCUCCAAUACAAAUCAUCUCAUAACCAUUAAUGGGUCGGCCUUGGUUCCUUCGACCCAUGAGUGUAGUGAGAAGACUCACUUUUAAUACUGACCGAUAGUUGACUAGGUCCUGGCUCCGAAUAUCAGCUCUACUCAACCCCUAAACAGAAACACUUCCUUAAAUGCAACUCAAAAUGCCCUAAAACCCCUUAUAAGUCAAACUUGGUCAAGGAUUAAAGUUAAAGUCAAAGUCAACGGUCCGAGUUAACCCAACACACCGAGUUGUCCUUUAACUCGUCGUGUUUCUCCAUUAACUGCACAGAUCAGGAAAAAUAUUAUCAACUCAUUGAUUUCACUAAUGAACUCACCGAGUUAGCCAGAAAUCCAACAACCUAAUGCAUUAAGUUGUUUCCAUUGAAUAUAGAAACUCCAAUUGUAACAUCCAUAAAAAUCAGGCCAAAUUUGAACUUUUCAAAACAUUUCAAAACCAUUAAUUAUUACAAAAACUUGUUUUCAAAAUAGUAUCAUAUCAGAAUAUCGCAGAAACAAAUCAUAAACAUGAGGAGCGGUAUGAUCACGCAUUUGCCUUCCUGCGAUCUCCUGAGGUAACCGAAACCAAAACUGAAACUGUAAGCACAAAGCUUAGUGAGUUCCCCCAAAAUACCGAUACAUAACAACAAUACACAUAAUAACAACAUGUAAUGGGUCCACAAAUCUACAGACUGUAUUACCCCCCCUGUGCCCACAGUGUGAGUCUGGCUUGCCUUUUGAGCCCACAUCUCACAUCUGGCUUGCCUCCGAGCCCACAACAUAAGUUUGGUUUGCUUUCGAGCCCGCAGCUUAUGACUGACUUGCCCCUGCAGUUUCAAGACUGAAACCUAAUUGAUCUGUGCUCAGUACGAGUUUGGCAUACCACUUGGUCCUCAGCUCGUAUCUGGUAUGCUAAUGAGUCCUUAGUAUGAGUCUGGUAUGCCUUUCCGGCCCUCAGCUCAUAUCUGGCAUACUCCAGGGUUUGUUGGUCACCGCACGAAGCAGUGCAACCUCAAUGUUACCCUCACAACAUGUCUAAUAUACAACUAAUUGCACAUACAGAUAAUUAAACGGUAACAUGGGUAGUCCUAAAGAUCUACCUAACUAGCAUAACAAUCUAGGAUGUAUAACUAUCUCAUACUCAACACAUCAUCAACUACUGGGAUAUCAAAUCCAAUGGUUCGGCCUUGGUGCCUUAGACCCCUUAGUAUAGUGAGGAUAAAUCACCCCGCAAUUGUCGAUCUCAACUGAUGAACCGAACUCCCGAAUCGCCGUCUCACCACGAAUCCCGAACUAUCCAAAAUAACAAAUAUUAAGUCAAUAAAUGGGAAGACUAAUCUUGACUAAGAAUCCAUAUAGUCCAUUUCGCCUUUUUCUCUAAUUUGGGACAAGGCCCAAUAGCAAAUUCACUAUCUAAAAGUCCAUAUACCUAAGCCCAUUAAUGUCAAAAGCCCAACAGAGGUCUUACACGGGGGGUAUUCCUCUGGUACGUUGGGCAUACUUCUAUUUGUGUUGACCACCAUAGGGGUGGUUGACUCAGUACGUUGGGCGUACAGAUAUUACGCGGGGCGUACGCGGGGUUUGCCAAAACUCUAAUAAGUGCUUAAUGGCUUAAGCACUUAAGCCCAAACUUUAGAUCCAUUGACCAAAUAUGCCUAACAAUCAUAAAGUCUUGAACUUUAUCACUUUGGACAUACAGAAAGUUCUUCACACAUGGUCUUAAUCCAUUAAGACCUUCCUACUCCAUGCAUGAGACACAUUUAGCUAUUGGGACAUCAUUUUUAUCACUUAGGACCUCUUCAAGAGUCUAGAAGGACAGUUUAUUUCGUCCAAAUCAUAUCAUGCACCAACUUGGGACUUUUGGGACAAGAAAUGGUUCCUUAAAGCUAAAAUGGCAAGAUCUAUAACAUACAUGCAUAAAGUUUGAAGCUCUUUGCCUUCUGGAGCUUCUAGGGCACCAAACAACUUCAGAUCUACUAGCUUGUUCUCCUUCUCCAACUCUUUGAUGCAAAACCUUCUUCUCCAACUACUCAAAAUAAACUCUAUAAGCUCACAUACUCAAGGAAAAGAGUAGGGUUUGGGGAAAACGACUCUAAACAGUGGAGGCUGAGGUAAGGGAGGGUUAUGAGCUCAUAAAGUUGUUCAUAUAACACUCAAACCCUAAAUAUUAGGGUUUCCACCUGACGUGAGUACGCCCAGCGUACUAGGGCGUGCCUAGUACGCUCAACGUACCUUAUGUACACUUACGUACUCUCUUGAUCCCAAAGUUGCAACUUUAGCCCUUAGGCUUCUCAUGGGUCGACUCCUUUAAUCCCCAGGGACUACAAAUGACAAAAUAAUAAUAAAAGAGAGGAUUCGGAAAUACCUGCAAUAUCUCGGGAUGUUACACCAAUUCUCAGAUCUCCUCUAAAAUGAUGUCUAGAAGGGUAAAGUUUCCAACUUUACCCUUUGGAACCACCAUAAUGAGUCAAAACCGAACCCUAGACUCAUUAGAGUGAGGCUUGACCCAUUAAGCCCUUAAACUCCAAAGGCAUAGACCCAAAAUGCAGAUCUGGCAUCCAAAGGAUGGGAAAUCACGUAAAGUUUCCAACUUUACGUCCAUGCAUGCUAGAAAGAAACUCUAGGGUUCAAGAUGGGCUAAUAAAGGACUUAUUGCAUGAAUGGGGCCUAGAACUUAGAAAAGCUUGCAACUUUAAGCCAAAUGAGGCCAUAAAAUGGUCAGACUUAACAUAACAACCCCUGGUACACUCAACUUCUUGGACAUCCCAACCAUGAACACAAAAUCAAGAUAAGAAGAGAUCUAGAUGAUAACAAAGCAAGGUAUAAACUUGACACCUCCUAGAGACUACAACAAGUGGGGAGAUUCUGGGUCUAAGUCUUCCCUCAAAGAUCUACACCUCCAACUCCCAAGCUUCUUCAAAAGAACACAAAAGAUCAACACUCAAGGCCCUCCACAAGCUCACACAGUUACAAAAGAAGAUGCUACACACUAUUUAGGGUUUCUGGACAGGGGAGGCUAGUAAGGACGCCAGCCGAGGGACUUAAGGCCUUUAAAUAGGGUACAACACCCUAUAAUUUAGGGUUUCCUUCCCAGCUGCCAACUCGCCGAGUUGGGACACCCCGACUAGUCAAGUUGAUUCAUUAAUUUCCGCUGCCAAAACCCUCUCGAUACACCGAGUUGGAGCUUUCAACUCCUUGAGUCCCAAAGUAAUUAUAAAAAAUUGGAGAAAUAAACUUAUACCAGAACCAAGCAUUACAGAAGAUUUAGGAACAAAAGUCCAGAGAGGCACAAAGUGUACUAAGUGUAGUAGACUUCAUGAUACAGUGUGUUGAUCGUUUGGGUGUCACAUUUGUGGUAGGGAGGGGCACUAUAGCAUAGACUGCAUGCAGAGUAUGCGAGUAUGCUUUCGUUGGGAUCAGGUGAGCCACAUCAAGGCCAAUUCCCCCUUUCAUGUAUCAGGCAUAGCGCAGACUCCACCACAUGCGCCUUUGAGGAUCAUGAAUGGAUGACAUGGGAGAGUUGAGGCUUCAUAGGCCAAGGGAAGAUCCUACCAACUUAUUUUAGAGGAUUUGAGAUAAGUACCAGUAGUGAUCUCCGAUAUAUUUUCAAUUAUUUUAUUGGUAACAUCCAAAUCCUCGAGUUAUGAAAUUUAAGGUUACAAGUUCUAUGAUGGCUAUGACAUGGUGGAUGUAUUACCACGAUGUAACAUGGUUGCAUGAGUUGUUUAUUCCAUUUAGGUGUCACGACGAGCCACUCUAUUGGUCAAGACAUGACAUUUGAUCAGGGGCAAACCCUAAUUUCCGGAUGUAGGCACUAUUUAAAGGAAGGGAGGGCUAGGGUUUUCUCCACCAUCAGCCUUCAUCACCUCCUAACCCCUUGAAGAAGAAAGCCUUUGUGGGGUAGAUAGCAUCUUGGCAAGCUUUCAAACUUCAUUUUAUGAUCUCCUAGACUUUUGUGAGUAAUCAAGUUCCAAUCUUGAUGCAUUAGGCUUCUAGAUCUAUGCUUUUGGUCCCUUUUCUCCGCAUUUGGAAAAUUUUGGAUGGAAGGAUUCCAUAAAGUUGACAACUUUAUGGAUCCUUAAGGUCCCUUGAGGAUUAUAUGCUUUGGGUCUAAAGUUAGAUUUAGUUUUGAAUCCAUGUAUGUGAUUUUGGUUCCAUUUUCAUCCUUUUGACCUAACAUUAGCUCAAGAGAUGCAUUGGACAUGCAUGUAUAUAAAGCAUUGAUUUUUAGAAUUUUUUUUGGAGUACGAAGGCCCUUUGGAAAGUUAGAAUGGAUGGCUUAAAGGAUUAAGGGCUUAAUGCAUUAAUGUAGCAAUUGAGAAUUUCUCAUCACCAAUUAUCACUAAAGAUUAACAUCAACCGAUGAUAAUGGUAGAACUUUUUAUAGUAAUGGAAAAUAUGAUUUGUUAAAUGAUAAUAAUAGGGUAAAAAAUGAUUGACCAAAAAGUUAUAUAAAUUUUGAUGAUGGUUAGUGUAUUUGGAAAGUACACAACAAAGUGAUCCCAAUGAUAUAAGCGUUACGAAAAUCUGACUCCGAUUGGAGGAGUUAUGAUUUCAUAAAAGAUAAAACCAACCGCAUUAAUAAUGCCAUUAACGUCAAAAUAACAUAAAGAGAUCGGUUGAGUUUCGACUAACGUCACUAAAAGGAAAACCAUAAUAACUUGUGAGAUAAAGACUUUGAAAGGAAAAGGUUCAAAAAAGGAGUUCGUAUGAAGGAGAUAUGAUUUUUAGAAAAAUAUAAAAUACGGGUUAAAAAUGAAAGUCAAAAUUUGACAACGCAACCUUCAAGAAAGUUGUAGUACUAUUAGAGAGCUACACAAAUAUAUAAAGAGGGUAAGACACAAUAUUCAUAUAAGGAAGAUAUGAAUUUUUAUAAAAGAUUUAGGGGUGCACGCCAAGUGCGUCUCUUGCCCGUUGUGCACACCAGACACUUAAAUUCGUCAAAGAUUAUGGAGACGUGGACCGUCAGAAGUGUGACAUGUGGCAAGCUCUGGAUGGAAUCACGAAGCGAGUGAACGCCACACGCACAACCUCUAUAAAUAUAGGUGCAAACUUUCUGAUUUUAUCAUCCAAAACACUUUAUCUAUACCUCUGAAGUUGUUUCAGAGACCCUCUUGAUGGCACAAAGCUUUGGAUGCAAUGGCUUGGAUGCUUCAGAAUACGCUAAUAGAGUGAGUUCACGGCUCCCUAUUUUACUAUUUUAAAUGUUUUACCAGGGGGGAUACAUGCUUAUCAAAUGGUUUUAUCAAAAUAUUUUUAUAUCUAUAAAUAUCAAAUCAUUUUAUAAAGGUUAAAGCCUUAGGAUAAUGUAGAUAUAGAGACUAUGCCUAGUUGUAAGCUGUGAGAUUAUGCUUAACAAUUAUGAUGCCCAAUAGUCUAGGAAGAGAUAAUACCUAGAUGUUAUAAUGGCCAAAUCCCUAGGAUAAUGUAGUACUUAGAAGUUAUGUUGCUCAGAUAUAGAGAUAUGCAACAUACCUAGUUGUUACUGUACCCAAAUAUCUUGUUUUCAAAUAGCCUUAAUUAGGGUAUAUAUAUGAAUACUUAUAUAUACAAAAUAAUUAUGAGAUCAAAAUUUAUAAUUAUGUAAUAUAAGACAAAGAUUUAUAUUUAUGAUAGUUAUAGGAAAUCCCUAGGAAUGAUUAAAAGAUAAUAUAUAAAAUAUAAAAGAUAAACACCUAAGGUCAAUGCGUUAGUGAGCUGUUAUAUUCAUCUAAAGGCCUUGAUUAAAUUUGACAUUCUCCGAUACCUAUAAUCGUUAAUCUUGCGAGAGCUAGAAAGAUAUGUAUAGAUCUAUAUGGGAUCUGAUAACCCCACCUGCAAUUGCUAGCUACACUCCCGAUAGGAUAACUUUCUUAUUAUUCACUAUGCGACGUCCGAUAAAGCGUCGUGACAGGGAAAUUAUUAGUCAAACAUCGUCGAUUAUGGGGGUUCAUGGUAAUACAUUAGAUAGCCUUAGAGAUCAGAGUACCAUUAGGGACGCCUUAGAAUGGUAGAUAAAAUACGUUCGGAUCAUUAGAUAUCACACAAAAAUAGUAAAUUAGGAUUAAUAAAUAUAUCCUAAAAAGAUAAAAAGAUAGGAUCGGUAUAUAUCCUAGAGAUAAUAAGAUAGGAUCGUUUGAUAUCCUACAAAGAUAGCAAAUUAGGAUUAAUAAUAAAUCCUAAAAGAUAACAAGAUAAGAUCGUUAGAUAUCCUGAAAAGACAGUAAGUUAGGGUUUAUAAAAUACAUUAGGAAAGGUUUUUCUAAAAUAAAAAGGAUUCUUAAAUUAAUAUAAUCAAAUAAAAGCCAAAAACUAUAAAAACCUGUGUACUCACCAAAAUCAAGUUGAUGUUUUCAAAAAUCGCAUAUGUGCCUAGGAUGAAGUAGAGAUCAAGUCAAUGAAGGAUUAUCAGCAUGAAGACUUGUAGAUUUUCGUUUAGAUAGGUAAUUAUGAUCGGCACUCUAUGAUUUGGGAAAUCUUUAUACAGUCACCACUCGUCAUUUUCCACCAUCAGCUGGGGAGGGUGUGACAAUUAAGCUGCCCCAGUGCAGUUCUCACAACAUGGCCAUGAGGAUGCCUCGACGUGAUGAUAGGAGAUCAUUGACUGUUUUGGACAGACUCUAUUACGACGUGGUGGAAUGACCAUCUCGACGUGACAAUAACAUUGACUGUGACUGAGUUGGAUCAUGAUCGGGACUUUGAUCAAACCUGAGUUUGUUCUUCACGACAUGACCAUGCAUUGAUUCAAUGUGAAAGGCAGCUGAUGUUGACUUUGACUGUUAACAUUGAUCGUUAACUUUUUGACCCAGUUGACUUUUGGUCAAAUGCUAGCUCUAGAGUGUAGAAUAAGGUGUAACCUUGUGUGAUUCAAUAGGUGGAUUUUAGCACCUGUCUAUUGACGAUGAGUUGUGGUUUGUAUGACUUCGUGAGAGAGAUGAGUCUUCUGACUAUACUAUGUAGGAUGCUAGUUGUCUUUGUGAUACUUGAAUGAAAGACCAUGGGGAUAGCCUAUGAAAAUUAUCUUAAAGACCAUGGAGGUAUCCCAUGAAACUUGGAUGUAAGACUAUAGGGUAGCCCAUGACAUUUCAAUUAAAGAUCAUGGGGUAGCCCAUGGCACUUGGAUAUAAGACCAUGGGGGUAGCCCAUGACAUUUCAGGGAAAGACCAUGGACGACAUUUGACUGUAAGACCAUGGGGUAGCCCAUCUUGUUUAUAGAAACGACCAUGGUAUGUGGUAUUUUGGGAACUCGCUAAGCUUUGUGCUUACGAUUUUGUGGUUUAAAUAUUUCUGAUACUUCUGGUUCCAAAGGGAAGUCCCGAAGUGAUCGCAUAACAUCCCCAAGAGUUUAUUUCCGCAUUACCUGUUUUAGAUUCACUAUGAUAUUUGGGAAUACACUUAAACAAUUAUUGGCUUUUGAACAAAUGGUUGUAUGGUUUAGGUGGUUGAAAAACAAUGUAUUUGAGAUUUGUGUGUUUUAAAAACAAAAAUUUUACUUAGUAUUCUUGGAUGUUACAUUAUUUUCCAUUCUGAUCUUUUGCCUUAUUAUUAUUUGCAUAUGUAUAGAGUUUUUCUUUUGUCUCUUUGCGAUGAAUGCCAUUUUUGUGGGAAAAUAUUCGGUUUAGACCUCCUUAGAUCUUGUGGUAGAUUAUAGGAAUGGGAUUUCAUAGACUCCUAAAUUUUGACUUGACCCUUCCACCUGUUGUUGUCUGAUAAAAUAUUUUAGGGUAGAGUUGAACGAUUCGAAGGACUAUUUAAUUCAAUUUCUAUUUUAUUUCUUUGGAUCAAGGUUGAUAUAAUUUUGGAUGGGUUAGUUUGGGAUCAUGAUGAUGGUACAUUAACAACAUUUACAUGGUAUAUAUUUCAAAGUGGAGGAGAGUCGACACUUCGUGAGGGAUGAGUUUAGAGUCGCUCGGUCUUUAGAUUGACUGCUUGGGUUAGACGGUAUUUGCAGCGGCGCACAAACUUCAGAGUCCUAAGUUGGUAAUGUUAGAUAUGUUGUUUUCCUUCUAAGUAACCAUAAAUAUAGAUUUGAUAGGUACUUUCUCGGAUUUUAAGGUGUUGUUUAUGUAUAGAAUUCAAAUAUUUUAAGGGAUUCAAAUUGAGGAUCGUGACGAAGAUCUCCUUGCCAGUUCUUGUUUUAUAGGUCUUGGGGAUUCGAUUCACGGUCUGAAAGCCUGAUAGGGAUAGUUGGAUUUCAUGAUUUUGACUUAUGUCUUUGGGUUGAACCUGAGAGUCAAUACUUGUCGAUGGAUUGGAUAGAGACCGAGACUCAUUAGUGGUCGAUGAAUUAGGUUGAGCCCGAGAGUCAUUAGUGAUUAACAGAUAGGGUUGAGCCUAAUAGUCAUUAGUGGUCAACGGAUCGGGUUGAGCCCGAGAGUCAUUAGUGGUUGACGAAUCAGGAUGAUCCUGAGAGUCAUUAAUGGUGCACAAAUCGGGUUGAGUCUGAUAGUUAUUAGUGGUUGAUGGAUCUAGUUAAGCCCGAGAGUCAUUCGGGGUUGAGGGAUCGGCGUAAGCCCGAGGAUCUCUAGACGUCAUUGGCUUAGAAGUAUUUUCUUCGGAAGUUGGUUAGUAGAUAAGCCGGGAAGAUGAUUGCUAGAAUUAUAAGUAUCAGUUGAAUCUCAGAUCAGUGAGUUUCUAAUAUUGGUAAGUCUUCUCUCUAGGAAUUAGUUUGCUCUGUUGUGCCAUGAGAUAGGUUGCGUUGGGAUGAGAAGAAUUGUUGGUUAGUGGGAAUAGAAGAUUAGACCACGUAUAUAUGUAUAUGUGUUUGGGAAAUCUAUAACACCCGAUUUCCAGAUUUAAGUUUUUGGUAGGAUCGCGACACAACCAAUGGUUAUUCGCGGCACUAUGGUUUAAUAAAUUUAACAGUGUGAAAAGUAUUGGUCACGACGUGACAUAGUUGUUAUGAGAAACCCUAAUUUUCGGGCCUUGGGCCCUAUUUAAAGGCACUAACCUCUAGGGCUUGCCUCAUUUGGUAGCCUCCAUACUCAGAAACCCUCUCUUACCAUUAACCCUAACCUUUAUUGCAAGUUUGAGCCUCAUCUUCCAUUUGUGUGAUACUUUGAGGUGGUGGGGUUGUUCCUUGGUGCUUAAAGGUAUUGUAUAAGUUCAAAUCCAUCCAAGCUUCUUCACUUUUUUAAUUUCCUAGGCCUUGGAAUGUGGUGCAUAUAGUUGACUCUACGGGGCUUCUAGUAGUGUUAUUUCAACUCUUCGAUUUAUGUGAGUUUUCUCACUAUAUAUGUAGUAGUAUAUCUCCCUUGUAUGCUAUGAUGUAGAUGUAUUGUAGUAUGCUGAUUAGGCAAGUACGUUACCUUAGUCGUUUGCAUGUUGAUUGUUUGAUGACUAAAUGGUAUGAUAUGUUGAUAUGUUAUGUUUGGGGAGUUGAUAGUGGAUCGGCAUGAGAGCCGAGAGCCUAGAUUAAUCACAUUCAAGUUAGACGUGCACAAGAGUCGUUAACUGUUGGUUCAAGGUUAGAUGUGCAUGAGAGCCAUUAACUGUUGGUAUGACUAGACGUGCACUAGAGUCGUUAGUCAUUACUUAUCGAGGUAGAUCGGCACUAGAGUCAAGAGCCUAUGUUUGUAUGCAUUAUUUGUGUAUUGUGGUAUGUAGUAUAUUGAGGAAACUCACUAAGUUUUAUGUUUAUAGUUGAAGAUUAAAUAUUUUUCAGAUACUUCAUUAGAUCGUUGGAAGGACAAUGUUUGACUGUACACGCGCAUCGACUUUGUGUUUUGAGAUUUCCUCGUGUUCUAUUUUAUGUUUUGAUUUAAUUAUUCUAAUUUUGAUCACUAAACUAUGGUUUUCUUACUAAUGAAUGAAUAUUUUGAAUUGGUUUUAAAAAAAAUAAAAAGUUGGUUUUGAAAAAUAGGAUGUUACACUGUUAAAUUUUAAAAAUUAUAAAUUUGUGUAUAAAAAGAAGAAGUCUCACAAGGGAUUGAAAAUGAAACAUUUUAUUGAACCAAUAACAAAUAUUUCUGAAAAUGACGAAAAGGUAAAAUUUCUUUUUAAACCAACUAAUUAAAAAUUAAAAAUACCUCCAAAAGAGCUAUUCUUUUAACUUAUAACGUACCGGAUAUUUAUGAAAAUGGCAAAAGGUAAAUUUUCUUUCCCAUUUUCUUUUUAAACAAACCAAUUAAAAAUUUAAAAUACCUCCAUAAAGUAGAAAUUCUCAACUUAUAACACACUUGUGCAGAGUCGAACUCAUAACCAUUGUUGCAAUGGAAACGAAUAUGACUUUUUCAAUUCAUCCGGGACCAAUUAUGUUAUUUUUUUUCUAGACAAAUAGUAUUUAUUAAAUACUGAACAUAAUUAAUAUUGGACCCCCUAAUUUUCGUGAGGCUUACAGAGAUCAUCCGACUUGUCCAUCCUAUUAGGUCGGUCCUGAUUACCAAAUGGUUUGAAUGAUAUUAUAACAAAACUCGCAUGUCUAAUAACAAAAGGUUAUCUAAAACUUUCUCCAAAUAUUAGAUACCUAAAAAAAACUAACAUUAAAAAUGCUCCUAUAUAUAGAAAAAAUAUAUAUUAACAAGUGUUAAAAUGUUCUUAUAUUUUCAUAAUAUUUGAAGUGAGUGUAGGCGAAAGGGAGGGGGACUUGUUUUUACGAAAGCCAAUUUAAAAGUAAUUACAGCUCUGAUCCCUAUAGUUCACACGUAUGUAUAAUUUUAGAUUAUUUUUUCGUUUUUGAUAUGCCUCGUUGCUAAGGUUUCCAAAACUUACAUGUGUGGUUCUUAAGGAUGUUACCAUCAAUCCCCCCUUCCAUUAAAUGUCUUUAAAAGAACCAAUCUUUUGAAAACCGAUUUUUUAAUUGAACCGGUCGGAUGAUGUUUUCCGGUUCAACCGGAUGGUUAAACCAGUUCUAUAUUUUUAUAUGUUUUUAGUUAUCCUGGAUAUAUUAAUUACAAAACUUGUCAUCUUUUUAGUUUUACAAACGUAAAUAAAACGCAACAUAUAAAAACAAUCAUUAUAGAAGUCAAAAUCAACAGGGCCGGUCCUGUGCAGCUGCCCACUUUGCCCCCCUCUAAGCCCCCCAUGAAAAUCAAUCAAAGAAGCCCAAAACAAACACAAAAAUUCAAGAAUGUCCGGUUCAACCCGGUCCAUUCCGGUUCAAUUCAGCCGGUUGAAUAUGUUUUUUACUAAAACCGGCCGGUUCAAUCCGGUCAGAAAAUCAUUAUCAAACCGGUCCAAAUCGAACCGCCCUCAUCUCCGGUUCCCGAUUCGACCGGUUCAACCGGCCGGUUCGAACCAAUUUUUUAAAACACUGAAAAGAACCACUAUUCCCUUAAUUUGACAUUUUUCGUUAUUUUGAUAUUUCUAAUAAGUCAAGACCAUUUGUGAAAAAUUAUUUAAAAGAUGCACUAGAACCCUAACAACCUUGUUGAUCUACGAUUUCAAUGUCAAUGCUCUCUGUCUCUCCCGCUCCUGGUAAUUCCAACACUAACAACUACUUCUCUUAUUUUACCAUCUGUUAUGUCGUUGUCCUCUUUCCUUUCAACUUCUAUUACCAUAGUCCACUUCACCUUAUACACUUAUAUUCUAAAAGAGAUUGAUGACCCUCAUUUCCUCCAUGACUCCAUCUUUAUAAUUCUUUAGAAGUUGGUGUUGUUGUAUGCCACAUAUGCUUGGAAUUGGAACGUUGUUAUGGUUGGAAUCUUUUAUUUUUUCUUCGAUUGGAAUAUUGUAGAUGUUGCAGGAAUUGGAAAUAUGGGAAGUUAUAGGAUGCUAACCAUGAUAUCCAGAAUUCAGAUUUCGACAUAUUGUAUUUGUGUGAAAACGCUUUUUGAAAUCUUUUUUUCUAAGUAUAGGUUGAUCGAAUUUUGGCUCUAACUUCAUCGUGUUUUGAGUUGCAGAUUAGAGGUUUCAUAUUUGUUUUGAUUUUGAUUAAGGGAUUAAAGGUUGAUUUUUAUUUUAAGUUAGGUAUAUGAGUGUGGUGUAUGACAAUGGUGGUGGUGUGUGAGGUCUACCUUGUACGUUAAAGUAUCAAAACAUUAUAAAAAAUAAAAAGAAGAGGUGGUGGUAAUAUGGUCAUUUAACAAAGGAGAAUUAACGAUAACACAUACAGGAACCACAUAUGCAAUUUUGGAAAACCACGACUCAUCAAAAAUUGAAAAAUUAAACUAAAACUGCAGAUGUGUAUAAACCAUAGGGACCAAAAGUGUAACUUACUCUUAAUUUUAUCCAAAUCUAUGUUUUGUGUUAACAGAUCACGCGCAGGGGUAGAGAGUAGGAUUUGUAUAUGGAAAGAUAAGAAAGCGGAGUCGUUCAAAUGAUUAUACGAAGAGUGCGUGUCUGCUAACAGAAAGACAAGAUGACACGCACGGCUUGUGUGUUUGUCGCUGAUGUGGGCCCACACGCGCCCCUUAAUUCGUAACUUGAACGUAAUUAUAUACUUGACACUUAACCAAUUAAAUUCAUUGAUUUAAAAUUUCUUUAAUUUCUUGAAAUAAACCAUCUUUGUAUAUAUGUUUUUUAUAUUAUAAAUACCUGUUAUCGUUUAUUAAAAAAAAAAAAAAAAAGAACGAUACAUAUCUAUGUAAUAUGAUGAUUCGAAUGUAUGUUGUCGUUAAAAGGUAAUAAAGUUAUAUAAACAAUUAAAAUAUGAGAAAAUGCUACGUAGUUAUUAUGGCUAAUGACUUGUUAAGAUUUUUUUUUUUAGAUCAAAAAAAUAAAUCAGAUCUAUCCCUCAAUUUUACCCUUUCAUUUGCACAACACAUUGAGAAAUUCUGUCCCCUUAUUUCGUAUCAAGGAACUCGAGAAAUGGUUCAAGAAAAAAGAAUAUGCCACAUUAAGUAAAGUUUAUUUUUGCAACUUUAAUUUCAUAUCUUUUAUGUUUAUUUGGAAAAGUUCCAUAUCAUCUACUCGUACUUGAAUACGGUUUAUAACCAUACAUUUUUGACUUCGAGGAAUUUGAUUUUCGCUUUAUCAUAUUGUAUAGGAUUUUGUUUAUAAAAUUUGAUUCUAACGUAUUGUAUUUAUAUAUUUUGUUGUAGAUUUGAAUCAUACUUAUUCAUUCGUAUUAUUAAAGUUUCAUAUUCUUAGUAUUGAUUCGUGUUUUAUCUUUGUUUUUUCUUCAAAGAUACUGUAUUUGUAUGAUAAUGAUGUAUAUUUGGUAAAAUAUAUAAACAUUGGUCUGGAACUAAAAAAUAAGUACCAAUGAUUAUUUGCAUGACUAAGAAUAGGUUUGCAGUGCAAAAUUAUUUUUUACAUUGCGGAAUUGCAACUAUUUUUUAUUAUUUGAUUUGUAUUUAUACUUUAAAUUUUAUAUUUAAAUGUACACCUUUGUUUUAUAAAAAAACGGUGAUAAGGUAUCUAAUUACUCGUACUAUUGAGACAAACUUGUGAAUGAGUGAACAAGUAUAUUGUUACAAUUAAAUAGGAUUGAAGGGAAUCAUAUUGAGACAAUUGGCUAAGUUGAAGAGAAGCUUGGGACAAGAUAAGACUAAGAAUUGUAAUUAAUCAAACUAACAAUUAAGGUAAGUAUUUGUGGACUCUUUUAAUUUGCGUACAUAUCAUAAAUAAUUCAGACACAAUUAUGUAAUUUGUCAUUGCGGUUUGCCAAUAAAAGUUGACUCAAUACAACUAUCAAAACGUCUAUGUGUUGGGUCCACGUGGUUUUAUUUUUUGUUUGGUUGGUCCAUGUGGUUUCCAAAAACUACCCGAACAAUCCUUUUGCCAUGUAAAAAUUCUUUUUUGCCAUUUUUUAUUUUUGUUUUAUAUUUUUUAUAUGGUGUUAUGUUUUAUAUGAUUAAAAAAGAGAUACCCAUCCCCCCNNNNNNNNNNNNNNNNNNCCCCCCCCCCCCCCCCCCCCAAAAAAAAAAAAAAAAACCUUUUCUCGUCCUUCGUCUUUCCUUUGUAGACAAACACCACCAGACAACCACCAUGGUGUUUGGACACCAACGUCGCCAUCAGCUCAAGACAUCCACUAUUGACCAACACUACCACCAGACAACCCUUUGCUCCUGACCGACACCGUCGUGACCAAGGAUAUAGGUUUGUUUGGUUUAGGGGAAAUCGAUAUAGGAGACACAUCGAACACAACUUUUCUCUACCACCCACCGACAUCUGAAACCCAAACCCACACCCUCUCCCAUCUAAAACUAUCACCCGCACACCGCCAUUAUCUAAAACACUCACUCUUUGUCUCUCUAAAACCCUUAUGCCACUCCACUCCAUUAUUUUCUCAAAAACUCACCCUCCGCUUCUUUUGAGUUGUUCGUUUUCAAAUUUUAGAUACCCUAAAUUUUGUCAUUAGAUUUCUUCAAGUUGUUUCAACUUUUUUAUAAGUUUUCUUGGUGAAAUUUUUGGAAACUUUGGAAAAUUUUGUAUCUUAUUCGGCUGUACAAGCUUGAACUUAAAGAUAUCGAAAUCUGAUAUGAUUUGUUUUUUUAUCUUCAAAUAUGAUAUGUUUAAUGCUUGAAAUUUAUCUUGAUCCGUUUUUUUUCUGAUGAUGGUUGUUCUUGAAUGUAAAAAAUAUCUUGUGAAUAUGAUGAUAUGUUUGAAUGGCUUGAAUGUUAGGAAUGCUCAAUUAUGGUCGAAAAAGGAUCAUGAUGUUAUCUUUCUUGUGUGGUUUUAAAAAAUUCAGAUGUUUGAGUAGAAUCUAAUGUUUGCUAAUGUUUAAGUCUAAUGAAGUUUCCUUUAUAUUUUCUUCGUAUAUGAAAUAAGAAAUUUGGAGGUGGUGGCAGAUGCAGUAGGUUAAGUGUUAAUGAAGACGACCCAACUGUUCUUUUGACUCCCUUCUUGUAAUCCCAAUCAAUAACUUUUUUGAAUAUGGAAUAAUGUUCAUGUGUGUGUUCUGGGUUUAAAAUCAUGAAGACAUGUAUGUGAGCGAAACAAAGAUUUUAUAGCGCCGACGACUGGUGGUGACUAUGGAGAGGGUGACCUAAAGGAAGGAGAACAAGAAGGAGAAAGAUGAGGGUGGGGUGGUUUGGGUUUAAUUUAUUUUACCUUUUUUAAAAGAAAAUAAAUAAAUAAAAGUCUAAAAUAAAAUAAAAGGGGUAAAAAAAAGUAAUUUUCAUGCUAAAAGGAUCAGACAAGCAAUAAAAUCAAACCGCAUAGACCCACCAUGUAGACGUUUUGAUAAUUGUAUUGAAUUAGCAUGUUUUGGCAAACCAUGAGGAUCAAUUGCAUGAUUUUGUCAAUAAUUUAUUUUCACUAUAAAUGCUUUAGUUCUAAAAUGUUUUCCACAUAUUUGAUAGUUUCUAAUAAAAAGAUAUGCUUACAAGUUAAUUUUACAUGAUAAAUUUGACAUGAUGCAUGCCAUGACAUCAUAAAUGUGUAGUAUGAUUGCAUUUGGAAUAAUGUUUGUGAUAUGCCUGUACAUACCUACCUAUAAUGUGGUUGCAUAGAUUCGAGUAAAGGUUAUAAAUUAAAAAGCUCAGUCUCGUAAUGAUAAACAAAAAUCCUCCAGACAAGGACAAAACAAAAAUAUCAAUUAUAAUGAUAAUCAAAGAGCCUCUAAUAGGGAAUAAUAUUACCCAUUGUUGUAAAAACCCCGACUAGGUCUCGAUUAAUCUCCGAUUAAUCCAUAGGUGCUACUCGAGACAGAUAAUAGUGGUAUUUUAACAUUUUGAAGAAGUUUUAUAUCCCUAGAAAUUAUUUGAGGCAUGAUUAGUGUUGUAUUAAUCAUAUUAACCUAUUUUGUUAUGAUAUUUGUGGUAUUUAUGAACUUUGAUAUGAUAUUAGUCAUAUUUAAUUUUUUAAAAUUCUGCUAAUUAACAAUUAAUGGUUCCCGAUUAAUCCCUCGAUUAAUCUCCGCCUAGCCGAUUAAUCGCUUAACCCCAAUCCACCGACUAGCUAACGUCGAGCGUUUUUUACAACUUUGAUAUUACCUGAAUUCAAGUAUUUGAGUUCAUGCAUUGCAAUUUACACAUUAGCAUGAAAGUAAGUUACAAGUUAAAAGUAUGUUUGAACUUUGAUAAAUGUUUGAUUUAUAAGUAUGUUGGAAGUUUGAUAAAUGUAUGACUUAAAAGUAUGUUAAAAGUUUGGAAAGUUAAAGGCUUUCUACAAAGUUGAUAAAUAAUUUUGUGUCUAAAACCUAUGUAUCUCAAGAGACGAAAGUCUUAUGUAUCUCUCUUUUAAAUAACAUGUACUAUAGAUACCAAAGACAAAUAAAAGUGACAUGUACUCCAUUAAACACUUUUUGGACUUUUUGUGACAUAUUUCGGAAAAUUAAAUUUAAAAUAUUUUAUAAAAGGGGGCAUUUAUAAAUCAAUUUGUGGAUAAUGGUCAUGUCCUUGGCAUUCAAAAUGUUUAAAUUGCUAAAGCAUACGGGGAUGUAACAAAAUAACUAGAGACGGAGGCAAAGUAACAAUUUAGUGUCUUUGGAAAGUUAAAGGCUUUCUAGAACGUUGAUAAAUAAUUUUGUGUCUAAAACCUAUGUAUCUCACGAGACGAAAGUCUUAUGUAUCUCUUUUUUAAAAUGACAAGUACUAUAAAUACCAAAGACAAAUAAAAGGGACUUGUACUCCAUUAAACACUUUCUGGACUUUUUGUGACAUUUUUCGGAAAAUUAAAUUUAAAAUGUUUUAUAAAAGAGGGCAUUUAUAAAUCAAUUUGUGGAUAAUGGUCACAAACGGUUAUGUCCUUGGCAUUGAAAAUGUUUAGAUUGCUAAAGCAUACGGGGAUGUAACAAAAUAAUUAGAGACGAAGGUAAAGUAACAACCUUACAUACAUUUUAAAUACUAACUAGGUGUAAGAAUCAUGUAUUACAUGACUUUGUUUUAAAGAAAAAAAUAUGAAAUUCUAUAUAUUGGAGAAGUUUGAAUUUAUAAGAAAAAAAUAGAAAAAUAUUGAAUUGUUAAAAUUAAAUUGUAUGUUUUUCUUUUAAAUUAAAAAAAUAAUUUAGAUAAAUAAAUAAAGGAAACUAAUGAAACUUUAAUUUAGAAAAUUUGAAAUUAAAAGAAAACCAAUUAAUGAAAUUGAUAUGUAUUUAUUAUUACAUUUAUUGCAAUUAUUACAUUUAAAUAUUAUAUGAAAUUAAUAAAAUGAAAAAAACCACAAAAUGUCAUAUGAAAAAAAAUUAAUUGAAAAUAACCACAGAAAGACAUGCGGCCAAAUGAAUGAGAGUGUGACAUAUGACAAAAACUUCUUUAUUUAUUAUGGAGGAUUACAUCAUUUUCUAAAUAAACAAAAGCUAAAACAAUCUUCGAUCUUCAACUAAAUCUUUCAAUCUAAAUGCAUAGGUUACACUUGGAAAAUCUACACAACAUUUUUUAAGCUAACUCUUAAGGGUAGUGGAUAAGAUCAACAAUCUAAACCCAAAGGCAAAUAUAAAAGGUUUUCAAAACAAUAAAUAUUUUUUACAUUCAAUAUGAAAAAUCAUUUCAAAGACAUGCAUUUGCAAAACAACAUCAACUCAUCAAUAAAAGUUUAACAAAUUUCAAAAGAACAAAAGUUUAACAUUCUUUUACUUCCAAUUCCUAAGUCAUCACAAAGACCAAAUCUCACAGUCAUGCCUAAAAUAUGAGCUUAAUGUAUAAAUAGUAACAAGAACACAAUACAAACAUUUGUCCGUUUUAACAAACUAGGUAUCAUUGAGCCAUCAUACUAGACCACAUGUGGCAUAACAAAUAUACAAAUGGAUUUGACGAUGUUCUGUAAUGCUGACACGACCCUAUAUCUAUUCUAAGAAUGUUUUGGGUGCCCAAGUCAUACUCGCUGCAGUAUUCAUAAUCCAUCUUAAGUGGAUGCACAUGUACAUGUCAAAAUCAUUCAAAGUAACAAGUUUGUCCACAUUUUUAAAAGCUCGUUGUAAAAUCGAUUUCAUGAACACGCACAUAUACAUAUAAUAUUCACAUAUUACUAACAUAUGAAAUUUCAAGUAAAAAAGGAUAUAUAUAUAUAUANNNNNNNNNNNNNNNNNNNNNNNNNNNNNNNNNNNNNNNNNNNNNNNNNNNNNNNNNNNNNNNNNNNNNNNNNNNNNNNNNNNNNNNNNNNNNNAUUCUUUGGGUAAGAACCUCAACUUAUACUAAAUGUACCAAUUCAUUUCUAGUGAUGAUUGGAAAUUCAUGGAUCACCUAAUAAACAAUAAACAUUAUUAGUUAUUGACACUAAUCCAAUUCUAUUUAUCAAAUUAAUGUUACUAAAUUUGAUUAACCCUUUUUAAUUCUUAAGCAUGCUUUACUUAUACCUAAGGUAACAAUAGAAGUGACUGAAUGCUUUCCCAAUGUCCCAAGAUCAAGUUACAAAAGAUUCAGUCAUUCUCACACAUUAUUGCAUAAGCUGUGGGAAAUAAAAAAUGGAUUUUUCCAUGACCAAUAGUGUAACGCCCAGUUCCUGGUACGUAUUUGUUUUGAUUAAAGGUUCUUUUUGGAAGAGCUACUCGGUGAGUUGUAGCCCUAACUCGUCGAGUAGAUGUCGAGAUGGGUGCGGGUUUUAAGUGGUCUACUCGGCGAGUCCACGCCUGGACUCGGCGAGUAGGCCAAUCAGGAGGAGACCCGAAUCCUUAGGGUUUGCACCCUAUUUAAAUUUCCUUAUAGCCCCAUCUCAGCCUCUAUCAUCCUCAGAGCGUUCCUUGUCGAAACCCUAGCCUCCAUUUGUAAGUUUGAGUGAUUUGUUGCCUUGUGAAGGUUUUUUAGGGCACAUUGGAGCUUAGAAGGAGAAAAGAAGAGUUUGAAGAGUGCACGAGAGGGAGUAGAUCCGAAAUCUACUUUGGGAGAAGCUUCCAUUCAGGUAGUAAAGUCUCUACCUUGAUCUUUAGUUCAUUAGAUCCCAUUUUGUCCCACUUUGGUGGUUUUCAAGCCCUAAAACACCAAACUCCAUGUGUUUGUGCUUAAUAAUCCGAAAGGACUUCAGAUCUAGACUUUAUGGACGUGUUAGAAGCAUAAAGUUGUUGUGGUUGAAGUCAUUGAGGACCCCCAUGGAGUGCAUGACCUCUUAAAGAGCUUGGAAUUGCAUUUUUUAGCUUAUAGGGCCAUGCAUGCAUGUAAAGUUUGCAACUUUACGUGUUAAGCAUGCCCUAGGAUCAUAGAUUUGUGGUUUUGAAGAGUUGCAUGUCUCAGAUUUGGCUCAUAUGGGAAAUGGGUCAAGGGACUCGGCGAGUUCUAUGAAUAUAGCCUUAGACUCGGCGAGUUGGAUGAACAACUCAACGAGUCCUAUGAAGAUUGCCUGGUACUCGACUAGUUAUUCUUCAAACUCGGCGAGUUGUAUGAACUGUUAUUGUGUACGAAGGGUUUAAGUGUCAGAAGUCCAACCCUUCGUGUUUGCACGUAGGAUUAGCAAUCUAACGUGUUCCGAUAGUCCCAGAAACCCCAGAUCCUCAUGAAGGAUGUUCGGAUAAGGAUCUGGAAGCGAGUGGGAAGUCUGCUCGCAUGGACUCGGCGAGUUGUUCAUGGACUCGGCGAGUUGUUCAUAGACUCGGCGAGUUGUUCAUGGACUCGGCGAGUUGGAUCGCGAGUCGGUCCCAUCGUCCUGAGUGGUGAGUUAAGGACGAUUCAGUGAGUGGGAAGAAGGGGCUUGUAGAGUGGAACCGGGUUAGUGGAGAAGGGCUCGGCGAGUCGGUGCCAUGACUCGGCGAGUCCAGUCAACUGGAAGUUGACCUUGACUAAGGAGUUGACCUGGGUCGAAGGGAGGGUCAGUCAUCUGACCUAAGGGUGUGAAUGAGAGGCUAACCUAUGUUUAUGAUUUAUAGUCGGAAGAUUUCUGAUUCAGCAGUCAGGCGCUUAGCAAGCAGACUUCCGUAGUUACUUUCGAGGUGAGUUACCUUCCAGUAGCAGUGGGUCUACGGCCACAAUGACGGCCCACCAGUAGGAGUUGUAUGUAGAUGAUGGUCUCUGUGAUAUUCAUCUAGGGAUUACUACUACAUGUGUUAUGUUUAUGUGCUAGUAUGAUAUGAUGCUAGGUGCUAGUGACAGUAGGGGGAUAUAGUCCCCAAGAUAUUCGGUCGAUAGGGCCGAAGGGGUAGUCAUACCCAUCCCUGCUAGAUAGAUUCUGAUAUUGUGAUACCUGUUAUGUGGUAGUAGUAGAGGGGAGAAAUAGUCCCCAAGAUAUUCGGUCGAUAGGGCCGAAGGGGUAGUCAUACCCAUCCCUGCUAGAUAGAUUCUGAUAUUGUGAUACCUGUUAUGUGGUAGUAGUAGAGGGGAGAAAUAGUCCCCAGUAUCCGGUCGAGAGGACCGAAGGGGAGGCCAGCACCCAGAUAUGCUAGGCAGUACCCGGUCGAGAGGACCGAAGGGGAGGCCAGCACCCAGGUAUGCUAGGCAACAUCCGGUCGAGAGGACCGAAGGGGUAGGUUGGGCACCCAGAUAUGCCUGACAAUAUAUGUAUGUUAUGUGGUUAUAUGGUAUGUGGUACAGUGGGGGAACUCACUAAGCUUCGUGCUUACAGUUUCAAUUUUGGUUUCAGGUACCUCUUCUUCGAAGGGGAAGGAGCCAUCGCGGUAGCGGUACAUCACACACAUGCUUUGCUUUCCGCAUCAUGAGAUCCUCUUGGGAAAUUGUACUCUGGCCCUUUAAUGUUUUAUAAAAAUGUUUCUAGACAUGAAGUACCUUUUGUGAAAUGAUAUCACCGUUGAACCUUUUAUUUCUAAUGUUUUGCCGUGUACUUGUUUUAAAAAUGAAAUUUUUGACUCGUAUUUUUGGGAUGUUACAAGUUGGUAUCAGAGCCCUGGUUUGAGGGAUUCGGACUCACCUUCGGGGGUGUCUGAACUGAAAUCAAGGGAUUAAAAGAUUUUCCAAAAAGAAAUGUUUUCUAAGAAUUAAAAAAAAAGGGUUUUGAGAAAGAACGAAGUGUGUGAUGUGCGCAACCGGCCGAGCUCAAGUAAGUAUUCCCCAAAGUACCCAUACAAGCUUAUGUUGUGUUUAUCAGUUUCAGUAGAACAGCAUGCUAGAAUAGGACUAAGGAUCUAGGAGUGAUGCCUUAUGUGCCUGCUUUAUGUGCUUCAGUGUAUGAAAAUCGCAUGCUAGAAUUGAGUAAACGGCAGUAGGAUAGCCUGUUAGGUUAUGCCUGAUAGUAUGAGUUUAGCUCUGUAUGCUAGUUCAGUUUCUCUCUAUGAGGGCGGAUUUGCUUGAGAUUGUUCCCUUAGUUCGAAUGUUGCUUGCUUUGUGCUUUGUGGGACUCUGAGUGGUGGGAGUUAGACAUUAGGUGAAUACGUCACGUCACAUGUGAUCAGGGUUGAAUAAUCUUAGAGUGCUAGAUUUGGCCCUAUUGUGCAGCUCUCGUUUGAGUCUAACCGUUGUAGGGACGAGUCUGUUACUCGAAGUAUUAUCCGAGCCUCACCACAUGUGACGGUAUUCAGGUAAUGGUUAAUUGGCAUUACUAGGAGGCCUUCAGCGGCUGAGGACCUGGUAGGGUGGAGCCUGAGAUUUCCCUAGGGAAAGCCUAGGAUGAGUAUAGCGAUGAUCAGCAGUAGUGGAAGGGAUCUGGUGGAGUCAAGGCAGUCCUUGAAGAAGGUACAGAUAGAUAUGGAAGGUAGUAUAAGCCCGUACUACUGAAAGCAGAGGAUCCGUACCCGAACCAAGGAAGGCCAAGAUAAGACCAGGGAACUUGUAAGUAGUUGUGAUCCCUCAAGAAGUAUCAGUAUCACUAAUGAUUGUUAUUAUGUAUUGCAGAAUGGUGGUACUACGAUCGAGGCCGAUAGAUGGCGGUUCAGGAGAGGGGUCAGGUUCGGGAUCAGGUUCCGAGCCAGUGGAUGAGGGACUACGCGAGUUCAUCGCGUCAGAGAUCACCAGGGAUAGUCGACCCCCAUUAUCUUCGGGUCGAUCAAGGAGGGGAUCGUCGAGUUGAUGCAUCAACCACCAGGAUUUGUAAACUCUUCUUUCCCCGGUUAUGUUUGCAAGUUACGCAAAUCACUAUAUGGUUUGAAACAUGCCCCACGAGCUUGGUAUCAAAGGUUUUCUCAAUACCUUCUUAGCAUUGGGUUUGUAUAGAACAAGAGUGAUAAUUCUCUAUUUACCUUAUGCCGAAACAACCAAUAUGCUUAUCUUCUUGUCUACGUUGACGAUAUUAUUCUUACAACUUAUUCUCCUCAACUCAAAUAUGAUGUCAUAUCUUCACUCAAGACAUAAGUUGAUAUAAAUGAUCUUGGAAAACUCACAUAUUUAUUGGGAAUUUUUGUCAGUUACUCAUCGGGUGGUAUGUUCCUGUCUCAACAUAAAUAUACUACCAAAAUCCUCAAAAGCACUAAAAUGGAGAGUUGUAAUCCCGUUGCUACACCCACUGAUACUAAUUCCAAACUCAGCGCAACUGGUGGUGAUUCCAUUCAAGAUGUAUCAAAUUAUCGUCAAUUGGCUAGUGCCCUUCAAUAUUUAACUUUCACUCGGCCCGAUAUAGCCUAUGUUGUUCAACAAAUUUGUCUAUUCAUGCAUGCACUAUGGAAACCACAUUUGAAUGCCUUAAAAAGGAUCGUACGAUAUUUGAAAGGCACUCAAAAAUCUUGGUUUACACUUAAACAAAUCCACACCUUCUCAACUCAUUGCUUAUAUAGAUGUCGAUUGGGGUGGCUGUCCAGACACUCGUCGAUCUACUUUAGGAUAUUGUGUCUUUAUAGGAGACAAUAUGUCUUGGUCCGCUAAGCGACAACCAACUCUUUCCCACUCCAGCGUUGAAUCGGAGUAUCAGAGUGUGGCAAAUGUGGUUGCUAAGGCUUGCUGGUUGCGUAAUCUUCUUCAUGAGCUACAUACCCCUCUUAAGACUGCUACAUUGGUGUAUUGUGACAAUGUUUCAGCGGUCUAUCUUUCGGGAAACCUUUUCAACAUCAACGCACCUAACAUAUCAAGAUGGGCAUUCAUUUUUUUAGAGACAAGGUGGCUCUCGGUCAUUUUCGAGUUCUUCAUGUUCCGCCCGCCUAUCAUUUUUCCAAUAGUUUCACUAAAGGGUUGCGUCGCCAAUUUUUCUUGGAUUUUAGAUUCAGUUUGAGCAUCCGUCCUCCUUCUACUCCAACUGAGGGAGGCUAUUAGUUGAUAUUGUAUAGAUAUUAUUUUCAUUUAUCUAUGGAAGUUAUUCUUCCCUUCAUUAUAGGGAUUCAAUUGUACUUAUAUAUACAGAUACAUAAUGAAUGAGAAGGCAAAGGAAAAUUCAUAUUGUUUUACAGCUACGAGACAAACGGCCAAGUCAUUGUCGCAAUAGAUCAAAGUAGCUUGUUAAAUUGGAAGGUGAAGUUACAGUAGAAGGUUUCUGGCCCAGCUAGUUUCAACGACGACAUUAGCAAUGCCUUUGUAUUCAGACUCCGCACUUGACCGAGAGAUGGUGGCUUGUCGUUUUGAAGACCAUGAUAUAAGGUUAUCGCCCAAAAACAAAAAGUAUCCUGAUGUGGAACGUCUUGAGUCGGGGCAUCCUCCCCAGUCAUUAUCGGUAUAUGCGGUUAGUUUCAUAUAUUGGUUUGCACGAAAGUGAAGUCUAUGUGUAAUAGUUCCUUGAAGAUAACGAAGUAUACGUUUGAGGAACUAAAAAUGGAAUUCUCUUGGUGCAUGUAUGAACCGGUAGAGUUGUUGAACGAUGUAAGUAAUGUCCGGGCGUGUGAAUGUGAGGUAUUGUAGUGCUUCGGCUAGGCUUCUAUAUAGGUAUCCAUUGGUUAGAAGGGAGCCUGAUUCGACACUGAGUUUUGAGCCCGUGUCAACUGGAGUUGUGAUUGGUUUGCAAUUUGACAUAUUUGUUCGUUGUAGUCUUUCCUUGGAAUACAUGGCCUGCGAUAAAAAUAAACCCGAGGAGGUCCUUUUGGUGGUGACACGAGAAAAUUGUGUAAGGGACCUAGGUCUGUCAUUACCAACUUAGUAAAAAAAAAGUGUGUAUGAUUCUUUUUAGAAGUUUGUCAUUUGAGGUCGUAAGAAUCAUAUCGUCUACAUAUAGUAGGAGAUAGGAUGUAGCAUUUCCUUUGUGAAAAUGAAUAGAGAGUAGUUGGAGAUGCUAUGUGUUGAAUCGACUGUACCACUCUCGGGGUGCUUUUUUAAGGCCAUAGAGAGAUUUUUGUAAACGAUACACAUGGUUAGGUUUCUUUCAGUCCACAAAAUCGGGGGGUUGAUGCAUGAAAGUUGUCUCGUUUAGAUCCCCCUGUAGAAAUGCAUUUUUCACGUCAGGUUGACUAAUAGGUCGUGUGGGUUUCACCACUGGACUAAAAGUUUCGUCACAUUCAAGGCCCACCUUUUGGGAUUUUCCGUUAACGACCAAGCGUGCCUUAUAUCUUUCAAAAGACCCGUCAGAUCAAUGUUUGUGGCGGUAAAUCCACAUGCAACGUAUGACAUUAGAGUUCGUAGUCCGUGGGAUAAGAUCUUGCGUGUGAUUUUGUUGCAAGGCUUUGAACUUGGUGGUCAUAGCAUCCCACCAGUUUGGGUCGGUAAGGGCUAAGUGAGGUGAUUUUGGUGAAUAGGAGAUGGUUGGGGAGGAGUAAGUAUGAAGGUUCAUAGGUUGUCAUGGUUUGAAUAUACCACGUUGGGAUCAGGUAGCCAUGUCGUGGCAUGGUGGUUGCAGAUUAGAUGGAGGUGGUGAAGGAGGGGGUAUAUAGGUAGUAGGUACAUUGGUGGGAGAAUAUGGAUCCGAGGGCGAUUGGGUUGUAUGUGGAGGAUCUGUAGGUUGUGAGGGGGUGGAGAUGUAUUAGGUGUGGUGGUUGGAAAGAAAAUAUCAAAAAGAUUAGGGGGAAGGGUAGAGCUCCCGGUUUGGGUAGGGUAGGGAUGAGUGGUGGAAUAUGGAAAUUUCAUUUCGUCAAAGGUGACAUUAUGAGACAGGAAAACUCUACCGUAGGAGAGUUCAAGACAACAGUAUCCUCGGUAAUUUGGUGGGUAACCAAGAAAGAUGCAAAGGGCGGAGCGAGGGUCGAGUUUGUGUGUUCGGUUUGGUGAUCGGUUUGGGUAACAUGCACACCCAAAUAUACAUAGAUGGUCUUAGGUAGGGUGUCGAUGAGAAAGAGCGGAAGCGAGGGUUCGAUGGUUAAGGGUUUUAGUGGAAAGGAUGUUAUGAAAGUAGGCAGCGGUGUGAAGGGUUCAACCCAAAAUAAUGGUGGGAGUGAAGCAUGAGCGAGUAAUGCAAGUAUGAUUUCAUUUAGACGACGAAUCAUUCUCUCAACUUUGCCAUUAUGCGGGGAGGUUUGGGGGCAAGAAAAACGAAAGUGUAACCCGUGGGUGUUUGCGAAGUUGUGAAAAUGGGUGUUAUCAAAUUCACAACCCAUGCCACAUUGGAAUGUUUUGAUGGUCGAGUUGAACUGAGUAUGUAUGUACGUAUGAAAUUGUUUGAAUUUGAAAGUUUCAAACUUGAAUUUGAGGGGAUAGACCCAAACGUAUUGUGUGAAGUUGUUAAUUAGGACCAUGUAAUAUUUGAAACCGGAGUUGAUGGGCACAGGUGAAGUCCAUAAUUCAUAAUGGACUAUGUCAAAUGGAAGUAAGGUGGUGCUUUGUGAAUCAUUAAACGGUAGGUGUUUAUGUUUAGAGAUUUGAUAUGAGUUGCAAAUAUGAUUCAAACGACUAGUUUUAUUACAUGAGAUAAAUGAAUUUAAACGAAGUUGAUCUAAGACAUUAUCGCCAGGAUGGGCAAGAAGAGCAUGCCAUAACUCUAAACUGGAAGUAGAAAGCAAAACAGUUGCAGAAGAUGUUGCUUGUGUAAUAGGAUAAAGGUCACCAAAGCUAUUAUGUCGGGAAAGGAUCGUCCUACUCAUCAACUCCUUCACAGAAAAACCACAAGGGUCAAAUUCAAUAGAUAAAUUGUUAUCACAUGUGAACUGUCUAACAUAAAUGUUGUUCUUAAUGAUUUGUGGUGCGUGAAAGACGUUAUUCAAUAGAAUGGUGUGAUUUGGAAGUGUAAGAGUGGUUUUCCCAGAUCCAAGGAUGAGGAUACUAUGACCAUUUCCAACAUAGACGGACCGAAUAUAGUUGAUAUUAUGGGUUUUUGAAAUUAUACCUUCAUCACUUGUGAUAUGGGAUGUUGCUCUGGUAUCCAUGAACCACUGAGAUGAAUCUGGUGGUUCCAAGGUCAUCAUGUUGAGGGCUUCACCGAGGGCACUCGGGUCUAGAGGAUCCGUUUCAGCAAGUUGAGCAGAUGGUUAUUGGGCUUAGCGUAGCAUUUAGGCUGUUCGAUCACUUAUGGGCUGAUGUGGUCCAUAAUUCCAAGGAUAAGCCCAAUCGGGUUGAGCUGGGAAGGGACUUGGUGGAGAUGCAUAGGUUGCCCAGUGAGGAUAUGGGGUAUAACCAGUUGGAGCGGGAGGAGGCCGACUGCUUUGGUAUUGUCGUUCAUUUCCAUGACAUUGAUUAGUGGAGGUUUGGCCACCACGUCCUCUCUGAGGUGUGUGCUGAGGGCGACGAUUUUGCAAAGUCUAUCGCCUAUGAGGAGGUGCAUCAUGAGCUUGAUUGGUGUGUGCAGUAACAAGGGUGCUACCUGGUGUGAAGUUUCCUUCACAGGUUGACUGGCGGUGUUGCUCCAGUUGUAGCAUACUACAUGCUAUGUCCCACAAAGGUAGUCUUUGGUUAAUGAAAGAUGCUACGGUGUCAAAUUCAAAAGGAAUUCCACGAACCAGUUGAAGAACAAGACGAUCAUAUGUGACAGGGCUCUCGACAUCAUCAAGUUUGUGUGUCUAAGUCCUUAAGUCGUUGACAAUAGUCGUCUAACGAAGACAUGGAUGAAAGUUUCAAGUUGUUGAACUCAUGUUCUUAGGCUGUUGCAUGGGAUCCUUUAUUGUUGUGGAAGAUUAAUUUGAGUUUCCUCCAAGCAUCGCCUACGGUGGUGUUGGGUUCCAGAAUUCGAAUGAGAAAAGUGACUGAAAGUGUACCAUAAAUCCAUUGAAGAACAAUGACAUCAACUUUGGACCAUGAGUCAUAGUCGGCAUCACCGGGUAUGGGUGGAGCACUACCGUCAAUAUGAUGUAGGACCUUGUAGCCUUUGGUAUGGAGUUUGAACAACUUUACCCAUGAUGAAGAGGUGACUUUUGUGCCAUCAAAAACAUGUAUGUUAUGCUGGAUAUUAGUGACGGCGUAUACUAGGUGAGGGUUGGUUUUACAUGUUUUGUCUUUUCGACAGCAGGAGCAUAUUUUCCGUGGCAAAUAUGAGAAGACGAUAAAUAGUGAGGUUAAACAUCAUAUAAAUAGAAAUACAUAUGAGACCUAAUCUAAACCUUAAAUUGAUUGAAACUAAACCCUAAUCACUAACACCCCCCCCCCCCCCCCCCCCNNNNNNNNNNNNNNNNNNNNNNNNNNNNNNNNNNNNNNNNNNNNNNNNNNNNNNNNNNNNNNNNNNNNNNNNNNNNNNNNNNNNNNNNNNNNNNNNNNNNNNNNNNNNNNNNNNNNNNNNNNNNNNNNNNNNNNNNNNNNNNNNNNNNNNNNNNNNNNNNNNNNNNNNNNNNNNNNNNNNNNNNNNNNNNNNNNNNNNNNNNNNNNNNNNNNNNNNNNNNNNNNNNNNNNNNNNNNNNNNNNNNNNNNNNNNNNNNNNNNNNNNNNNNNNNNNNNNNNNNNNNNNNNNNNNNNNNNNNNNNNNNNNNNNNNNNNNNNNNNNNNNNNNNNNNNNNNNNNNNNCCCCCCCCCCCCCCCCACCACACCCCACCCCCCCCCCCCCCCCCCCCCCCCGCAGUUUGAUCGGGAGGGGAUGAUUAAACUAGAAAACAAAAACAUAAAGCAUAACAUAAAUUAAGACAGUGGCAGCGACGGUGGUAGAGCUCUAACGAUGACGGCUAACAACAACUGCUCGUUAGAGAAGGAGAAAGAAGAAGCGACGAUCAACUGUGGUUCCUUUGUAUAAGAAGAGAGGAGCGGCCGCGGCAACGAUCAUCGAGUUGGCGGCAGAGGAGUCCAGAGAAAAGCAGUGAGAAAGAAUGGGGGUUCGAGCUGCAGUGAACGGAUCCUAUUCCGACUAAUUUGGAAACUAGUUCUAAAGAAGAGACAAGUUAAGGAGAAGGCAGAAAGCUUAGAGGCAGGAGCUAUCCACGAGGAGACAUAAGCAAAUGAGGUAGUAGAAGAAGCUGAGGCAAGAGCUCUAGUUUGGUGUCCGCGACUGUUUUAUUAUUUAGGAAGAGAAAAAAAAAACAAACGAAGAGAAUAUGAAGCAUAAUGAAAGCGGCGGUAACAUGUUGUGGUCAACGCUAGGAUUUUAACCUAGAGUUGUGAUACCAUGUUAUAUAAUAGAAAGUUUCAUUGAUAAAUAGUAAGAUUAAACAUAAUAUAAAUAGAAAUACAUAAGAGACCUAAUUUAAACAUUAAAAGACUUGGGCCUAAACCAUAAUCACUAACAAAACGAAAAAGUAAGAUUUCACGUUGUCUUCGUAUAGAAGCCUUCUAGAUACGUUUAUGUAUCAUUUCCUAAAAUGUUAAUUAUGUGAAAACGCUUUGCUUCUACAGAGCUAAUUAUUUCUAAUUAAAUUCCUGUUAACAAUAUCACAUCCAGUAAAACAGGUCCUAAUAUGAUUUGAUUUUGUGUUUUAUAUUAAAUAAAUUUUAUUUAAUAAAUGAUAAAAUUUUCAUUUUCUAAUAACAUUACAAAUAUAUUUACAAAAUGAGUAAAGGAAUCAAACUCAUUUUCCUAUUUUAUCACAAAAAAGUGACAUUUAUUUUCGGAAAAACAAUUUCACACAAAAUUCUGCAUGUGACAGUUUAGGCUUUUAAUAUACAUAAAAAUACACCAAUAAAUAUUAAACAACUCAAAAAAAUUAUCCCAAAAAUAUUAAAGUAUUUAAAAGGACCUUUCGCACUUAUUUUUGAUUAAUUGUGAAUUUUCAUUUCGUUCUAAAUUCAAUGUUUUUUUUCUCUGCAAAUAACGAAAAAAAGGGUUUUUUUAUUUAAAGGAAAUGAUCAAAAGGAUGAAAAGCAGACGAAUUUAAAUUCAGAUAAUACAUUCAUUCAAAAAAGUAAGGAUAAAAGAAUUUUAAAAGAAGGGCAAAGGUGAAAACCUGAAUAUUAGUGUUAUGCAUUGUCACCAAGUUUAUAAAAGUAAAAUAAAUAAAUAAAUAAUAAAACUGGAUUGUAUAAUACUGUUUGGUACCAAAUCAAACUCUGAUUUAAGACUUGUUUUUGGUCAAUUAUUUACGUCUAAUUUGUGUGACAUAUGUUGUUAAUUUAGUAUAAUAAGACUCAUAAUGGACAAUUACUGUAAAAAUAUAUAUGCCGAUUCUUUUAUUGUGAUGAAAACAAACUAGUUAACUAGAUGUACAUGUUCAUAUUGAGCUUAAUAUGAUUUGAAUUUUAAUUUUAUCCACGGUAAUACUUUUUACUAAGUUUUAAAGGAUUCUAUAUAAACCUGACACAGCUCGACAACUCGAUAUAAAAUUAACUAGUUUGAGUAAAAGAUUUUAAUACAUUUAAGUAACAGGUUACACGACAUAACAAAAAAAAUUAUAUGAGUUGUAUUAGGGUUAAGAUUUUCAGUUUGAAAAUGACUCAAAUAUGAUCUAUUUAAAGAUAUAUUAUUAUUUUUUUUAUAAAUAUUAGUAUGUAAUUACUAUUAAUAAUAAAUAUAAAUAUCAAAAUAAAGUAUGAAAAGGACAAAAAAAUGGCAUACAAAAAAAAGUUAGUGGCAUAAUUGAAGUACAUGUUUUCCUUUAUUAAAAUACCAAAAUGGAAGUAUAUGUAUCGUAGCCUAAAACUUCUGAAUAUAUAUACUAUUCGUGUGUGUGUAUACAUUGAGAUGUAAAUAUGGGAAUAUAUAAUUUAAAAAAGAAAAGUAAAAAAGGACCCACGUGUAUAUAAACAAGACAUGUUGUUACACGUGAGUUCUAGGAGGAGGAGGUUCCUUCCCACGUGAACUCCACUCUACACGGUCGUCAUAGGGUCCCACCUUCUUCUCUAGCUUUCUUCUUCUUCUUCUCCACUUUCCGAUUCGGCUCGGCUCGACUCGGCUUAAAUCUCUCUAAUUGGGUACUUUACUUUACUUUACUUUACUCACCCAUAUGAUAUGAAGACAUUUCGUAGUUGACAAUUUUACCCUUUACCACCCUCGUAUUCUGGAUUUCACAUGUACCUGCCUUCAAAAGCCACGGCUCACAUUAUCUUUGUCUCUAAAAGCUUUUCCUUUACUUUUAAAUAUUUUUGGGUACUUCUAUUAGCACGAAUAAGUUCGUGUAUAAGCAAUUAUUACAUUAGUUUGAUUAAUCGAUCCCAUAAUAUCAGUUACAUAACUUCAUUCGUUUUCAAAAAAAAAAAAAAUCAUUUUAUUCUCUGUAAACUAGAUGAAAGUUACAAAACACACCCUUAUAUUUUUUAUUCUAUCAUNUAUAUAUACACACACACAUAUAUAUAUGGGUGUUGCUAUUAACAUAUCUUUUAAACACUCUAUAGACACAUUUCUUAUUGCUAGCAAAUACAACAUAAUUGUUUAUUUUAUAAGCAAAAUGGUUCGUCAACAUGUUUUUUACUAUGACUUGGUCCCCAAGACAUCUCAAAUCAUAGAGCUAUUGACAUCGAUCUUGUUCAAUGUAUUCAUUAUGUGAAGGUUGAUUUACAAUGAGCAUAUCAAAUGCCAAUUAUUUUGCCACUUUGGCGUUACUACAUAUCAACACAAUUUGAUGGAUGAGAAAUUGUUUAUGUUGCUUGACUGAAUUCAUAUAUUCUUCCAUUUGCAUCAUACAAUAAUUAUAAUAAUUCUAUAGUUGAGUUAUCUGAUGAUUAAUAAAACCAAAAUUAUAUUUUAUUUCGUAUAAAUCUUAUAGUUCUUGAGAUCUCAAUAAAUAAAAUAAGUUUGUGUUGGGUAGUAGCAUAUAUUAAUAUAAAUAAAAAAACAGACUUAGUAAUAAAUUUGAAUAAUAUCAUAUUGUAACUUCCCAAAAAUAGUGAUAAAUUUUCAAAUUCAUCAAUCACAUAUAUCAUAUGUCUCAUAAACAUCCAUAAUACAAACUAUCCAAAACAUCAAAGUAAAAGAAUUCAUAUUUGCGGAAACAUGAGGGGGAUAAUAUUGUGCCAUUAUGUUGGGUCCUUCCCUUUCGUACCAGAAGUACCUAAAACCAUAGACAUAACUAUAAGUACAAAGCUUAAUGAGCUUCCCCAAAAUACCACAUACAAAAUACACAUAAAUAUAACAACAUGUGGCUUUGUCGGGUCCGUAUCAACCCUCAGGUCUGUAUCAACCCUAAGUGCAUAAUGAAUCUGAGCCCAUAUUGGCUCAAUGCAUAUAUCAUACAAUCAUAUCAGUAAUAGUCGCAUAGUCAUAUACAUCCUACACAUAUGAAUAAGCGGGCCUACAUUGGUGCCUUCGACCAACUAGUGUGGUGAGAAGAUUCACCUCAAACUGAAGAUAUCCAAAUCACAUACUUGAGCUGCUGCUACCACGGCUCCUCACACUGAUCAUAACCUAAAGUUAACCUUAAUUAAUAAUCGGGAUUUUAACCCAUAAUCGAAGGUCCAACUCAUCUUUUCUCUUACUAAGGGAAAAAUACCAUUUUGCCCUUCCCAUAUAUGACCUAAAUAAUCAAGGCCCAAAACCUCUAAUCUCCCAAUGCCCAAAAAUGGCCCAAACGGUCUUAUGGGGGUACGUCCUACGUACCCCAUAUUACGCCCAACGUACUGGUUGAUCUUGGAAGGGUUACGGGGCCACAACCCACUAUACUCACCGUACUUAGGGAUUACGCCUAACGUAACCACCUGAUGCGCAAACUCUCAAUUAAGCUAUUAAUGCUUAAAGACCUAAUGUCCAAACUUCAGAUCUAACCCUAAUGAACGUCUAAAAACAUAAAGUUGCAACCUUUAUGCCUUUGCAUGGCUACAAGGAGUCCAAAAUCCAACCUAAGUCUUAUUCAUGACCCAAAAGUUUUCUAGCAUGGCUGAAUGGGAAAGACCAAGAUCCUACAUUUGUGAAUCACAAAGCUCUGAAAUGAAAAGAAACACUCUUCAUGAGGUCUGGAGUGAACUUUAUACCUUCUGGAGGUUGCUAGGAAGGUGCAAAUCCCAUAUCUACAAAUGUUUGAAGCUUCCAAGUGCACUCCACAGAUCUCCUUCCUUCAAGAAUGGACACGCAACACACAAAAAGCUCAAAAUCUCACGAAAGAAAGCUAGGGUUUGCAAAAGGGGUCGUUUAGAGGAUGGAGGUUGAAGGUAAGGGAGGGCUUAAGGUGAUAAUGUCCUUUAAAUAGGAUCUAAACCCUAAAAGUUAGGGUUGGGGAUUUUCGUGAGUACGCCUAGUUUACUCAUACAUAUGCCCAACAUAUGCAAAAGAACCCAUGUCACCUUUUAAUGAACUACAUGUUGGAUUAGAUGUCUAAGCCCAUAACUAUAAUUGGUAUGUACUUGACCCGAUAGUAGCAUGGUCCUUUUGGGUUGCCUUCACCAUAACAACUGGAAAUAAUGAGUUUUGGAGAAAGAGGUUAUUUAAAUGAUUUAUUAAUAUAUUAUAAGAAUAAUAUACUAAUUGAGAAAUCAUAUUAUUUAAUUAGUAUUGAUCAUAAAUUAAUUUGGAAUUAAUAUAGUGAUCAAAAGAGACUGAUUAAAAGAACGGGGACUGAUUAUGUAAAUCAGUAAUAAUUAUAGUUUGGGCUAAUGGAUCCUAUUGGUAUAGGGUGGACGAAAAUCUAUGGGAAGCCCAUAGAGUUUUCGUCUAAGGCUUACUAUGUGGGGGUCCAUGUGUUGCUUAGCGCCUAAGCAAGGGAAAUUAGGCUUUCCAGCCUCAUGAAAUCGGCCACUGCUUCCGUAGAAGAAACCCUAGCCGAUUUCUGCCUCUCAUCCUCCUCAUUCUUUGAUUGUGGUGUUUGUGACUCCAUUAGAGGUGCAACGCUUGAGGCACUAAGCUCUUGAAGGUCAAGAUCAAGGAAAGGAUGACUUGUUACUACUAGUUAACAAGAAAGGUAUUCUUCUAACUCUAGUUUAUUCAUUGAAUUCGAAAAUAGUAUAGUAGUUUAGGGUUCUUGCUUUGGAAAAUUGAUUUGCAUGACUUGAGAAAAAACUAGAUCCAAAUCAAUUAGGGUUGCAUGUGCACCAUAAGAAUGUUGUAAUGCUCAAAACCCAUCACUACGCUUUGUGUACCCAUAAGGUACGACCCAUGUAAGGACUGAAAUAACCAUACUUUUAUACUUAAAGCCAAAAUUGGAAAGUACCUAGAACACGGACGUUACAUAUAUUAAUAGAAUUUUAGAAAUAAUAUUAUACUACUAGAAUAAAACAACAGACACUAAAUAAAAUUUUAAAUAUAGUAAUAAAUAUAUUAUAUAAAUAGAAGGGUUAUAAAUUAAAAUAUAUUUAAAUAUAAACUGGUUUUUGAAAGUUUAUGUAGGAUUUGACCAAAUUAAAUGUAAUCGAUCAAUUUACUCAAUUCAAUCGUGCCAAUGGAAAAGGUUUCAUGUAUUUAGAAUCUCCGAUAUUUUUAUACAUGCUCGUUAUUGUAUGAUUAUGUUUUUUCAAUUAGAUAUUUAUUCAAAAAAUAUUUUUAAAAAAUUAUAUAAUUGGCGGGAUGUAAGUAGCGAUCUCGAUGAAUCACUGUCAUGCUUUAUCUAGGCCCAAUCAGGUCUGACCUCAAGACUCGAUCCGAGUUCAAAUCAAGUAUAACCUACAUAUUAUUUGUGUUUUAGAGUUUGUAUUGAGAACGAGAUGAACUAGUAUUCGAUGGGGGAACUAAGGAUGAAUCGAGAAAAUUGAAGAGGGUGAUAUUCACGAAUCAAAACAAGAUGGUUGAAGAUGACAAGUGGUGUUUAUCAUAUUCAAAAAGGAUUCCUCAACACCUAGGGAGAAAAUAGUCAAUUUGUAAUUUUAUUUGAUUUAUAAUAAUUUUAAAAUGAAAAAUAAUAUAAAAUAUUAAAAAAUAAAGAUUUGAGCAAAUAUGAUAUUUUGAAAGUUUAUAAAGGAAAAAUAUGAUAUUUAGAAUUAUUUUGGAUAAAUACAAUAUUUUGAUGUUUAAGAAGGAUAUAUAUAUUGUAACAUCCGGAUUCGUUGAGUGCUCUCAGUGGUUUGAUGAAGAAGAAGAAGGAAAAGAAGGUGCUAUAGUGUGUGGAUUUAACAAGCAAGUCUCAUCAUUCUUCUUUUGUGCAAUCCCUGAACCUUUGUAAAUGUCCAAGAUCCUAGCUUUAUGUUGCUUGCUCUUAGAUCUAAGCGUUUUGUCCCUUGAUCUCCAUAUUGUGAAAGUUUGGAAGGAUCAAUUCCGUAAAGUUGGUUAUUUAUGGAUCCUCAUGGUCCCUUUGAGGAUUGUAUGGUUCAGAUAUGAAGUUUCUUGUCUUAUUUGGAUUCAUGCAUAAAGUUGGGGUAAUUUUCUCAUGACUAUGACCUAAUUUGGGUAUGACAUGAAUCAAAUAUUCAUGUCUAUAAAGCCACGAUUUUUUGGUCCACUAGGUGUAGGAAACUCUUCUGGAACUUGGGAGAAGUGACAUUGGUUGAUUAAGUGCUAAAUGGGUGAGUGAAUGCAUUAUGUUGUUAUAAAGGACUUAGGGUUUUGAGAUCUUGACUCAUUGGGAUGUCUUGAUGAAUAAACAUGGAAACUUUAUCCAUCAAGACAUGGGGAAGGACCAGAUUUGGGCUUUGGAGCCCUUGGAUUAGGAAGAAAAAAACGUAAGCUUGAUUAAGAUGAUCAGACUAGUUCUCACGACAUGGCCUUAGGCUGCCACAACGUGGGGACUAGGAAAACAACCAAAUGUUUUGACAUUUAGUGCCCAUGACAUGGCUGAAGGAGGGACAUGACGUGAAGGCUUGUUGGAGCUAUUUUUUGACUUGAUUGGGAUUCUGAUAGGGUUUGGACUCGUUAGCCACGACGUGGAGAUCGACUGAUAUUGACUUUAACAUUAAUAAUUGACUUUGAGGGUUGACUAUUGACUUGAUUAACUUUUGGUCAAAUUGCUAGUUUUGGUAGAUAGGCUAAGGGUUUAUCUUGUGUGGUGAUUUAGGUGGCGUUUAACACCUAUUUCCUGGCUGUGCGAGUCAUUGACUUUUGACUUCAUUAGCGAGGUGAGUCUUCACUAUACUGUGUAGGAUGUUAGCUGUCUUUGUGACUCUUACAUGUGUAUGUUGGGCUAGACCCAUUUGUUAUAUGUUGGGUUGUGCCCAUUUAUUAUAUGUUGGGUUGUGUCCAUUUAUUAUAUGUAUGUUGGGUUGGGUCCAUUUAUUAUAUGUUGGGUUGAGCCCAUAUAUAUAUAUAUAUAUAUAUAUAUAUAUAUAUAUAUAUAUAUAUAUAUAUGUGUGUGUGUGUGUGUGUGUGUGUGUCAUAUGUUANNNNNNNNNNNNNNNNNNNNNNNNNNNNNNNNNNNNNNNNNNNNNNNNNNNNNNNNNNNNNNNNNNNNNNNNNNNNNNNNNNNNNNNNNNNNNNNNNNNNNNNNNNNNNNNNNNNNNNNNNNNNNNNNNNNNNNNNNNNNNNNNNNNNNNNNNNNNNNNNNNNNNNNNNNNNNNNNNNNNNNNNNNNNNNNNNNNNNNNNNNNNNNNNNNNNNNNNNNNNNNNNNNNNNNNNNNNNNNNNNNNNNNNNNNNNNNNNNNNNNNNNNNNNNNNNNNNNNNNNNNNNNNNNNNNNNNNNNNNNNNNNNNNNNNNNNNNNNNNNNNNNNNNNNNNNNNNNNNNNNNNNNNNNNNNNNNNNNNNNNNNNNNNNNNNNNNNNNNNNNNNNNNNNNNNNNNNNNNNNNNNNNNNNNNNNNNNNNNNNNNNNNNNNNNNNNNNNNNNNNNNNNNNNNNNNNNNNNNNNNNNNNNNNNNNNNNNNNNNNNNNNNNNNNNNNNNNNNNNNNNNNNNNNNNNNNNNNNNNNNNNNNNNNNNNNNNNNNNNNNNNNNNNNNNNNNNNNNNNNNNNNNNNNNNNNNNNNNNNNNNNNNNNNNNNNNNNNNNNNNNNNNNNNNNNNNNNNNNNNNNNNNNNNNNNNNNNNNNNNNNNNNNNNNNNNNNNNNNNNNNNNNNNNNNNNNNNNNNNNNNNNNNNNNNNNNNNNNNNNNNNNNNNNNNNNNNNNNNNNNNNNNNNNNNNNNNNNNNNNNNNNNNNNNNNNNNNNNNNNNNNNNNNNNNNNNNNNNNNNNNNNNNNNNNNNNNNNNNNNNNNNNNNNNNNNNNNNNNNNNNNNNNNNNNNNNNNNNNNNNNNNNNNNNNNNNNNNNNNNNNNNNNNNNNNNNNNNNNNNNNNNNNNNNNNNNNNNNNNNNNNNNNNNNNNNNNNNNNNNNNNNNNNNNNNNNNNNNNNNNNNNNNNNNNNNNNNNNNNNNNNNNNNNNNNNNNNNNNNNNNNNNNNNNNNNNNNNNNNNNNNNNNNNNNNNNNNNNNNNNNNNNNNNNNNNNNNNNNNNNNNNNNUAUAUAUAUAAGUUCAAAAUUCAUAACAACUAAAAACCUAUUUGAAACUCAUAGGAAAGAAUAUAUUAAAAAUUAUAUACGAAUAACAUGUUUGGAACUCAUGGAACUAAUAUACUUUUUUCUUUUAAUCUUAUUUUGUAAAAAAUUUUAAGUGUUGUUUGUCUUUAAGUUCUCGUUAAACAAUGAAGAAUGAAUAUGACCUUAAAGGUUUUCUUGUCUACGAAAUGAAACCUUAAGCGUUCUUUUUUGCCAACAUACACCAAUCUGCGAUGAGAUGUCUAUUGACGUCCUUCACCCAAACUUUGUGUGUUGGGAGGACACAAUUGUAUUGGAUGGAACAUAUGGUGUAAAAAGUACUUGUUAUUCAUUGACCAAAUGUCAAGCCCAUUCCUCGUAUUUGGAUUUGUAGUCAAUUGAACUUUAUUCAUUCCAUGCAUCUAAGAAUGUUUAUCUGCCUCUUGGUAUUAUAGUAACUUAGGUAUAAGUAUGUUGGAGACUAAUUCUUCAGCAGAAUUAUUAUCGAUCUGAGGUAGAUAUUCCUUCUUAGUUUUCUUUUUGACUAAUGGUAGAUGUUUAUGAAAUAUAUCCUUUGUAUAUAACUUAUUUUGUUAUUAAAUAAAAGGAGAAUUUCAUAUAUGCCCCUCUUAACCUUAAAAUAUCAUAUUUACCCUGUUUAAUUUAUCAAUAUCAUAUUUAUCCUUCAUAAACCUUCAAAAUAUCAUAUUUGUCCAAAUCCUUUUUUAAAAUGUUUUUAAUAUUUUAUCAUCAUUUUUUUAUACUUAGAGUUAUUAUAAUAAUUAAAAAUUUAACCAUAUUAUCCUUUUUUUUAAAUGGAAUGCGAACUUCUAAAUUAUUGGAAUGUUGCCCUCUUGACAAACAAAAAGAUUCAUCUUCAACCAUCUCUAUGGAAUGUAUAUUGUGAUUGUUUAGUUUUUAAUGUUGUUGAUUAUUAUCAUGUUGUAGAUGGAUGAUAUUUUAGAUAUUACCAUUGACAUUUUAAUGUUUAAAAAGUGUAUAUACGAUAUUUUGAUAUUUAAAAAUGACAUAUAUGAUAUUUUGAUGUUUAAAAAGGACAUAUAUGAUAUUUAGAAAUUUUAUGAAGGGUAAAUAUGAUAUUUAGAAAUUAAGUUGGGUAAAAAUGAUAUUUUGAUGUUUAAGAAGGACGUAUAUGAAAUUCUCACUUAAAUAAAUAAAUUUAUGAGCUAAUUAAAUUCGGUAAUAUAUGUCGAUUAUAUGUAAUUUGUGUGUUAGUUGGUAAUAAAUACACUAUGUAAUUUGAACAUCAUAUAUGCAGCAAUGGCAUUAUCUUAUGACUUAUAAAAUGAUUGCAAAAAUAUUACAAAUAAUUCAUGAACAUCAUAUUUUAUAGAAAUAAAUGUUACAACAGUUAUCCCAUGACAAUGUGUUCAUUUAAUAAUAAUUUAUAUAAGUAUAUAAGAGUCGGUAGCAAGUUCUUGGACGACGACAACUCAUGUGAAAGAUUGAUUGCUGACACAUUUUUACUCGAGUUGCCAUCAAACCAAAAAAUAGAUGCUCGUUCCACCACCUUGAUGGAUCAUGUUAUCUUCUCUAUAUCUCCAAUUUCCAAGCCACUUCUUGUUUUAAUGAAAAAUUGUGAACUUGGUGAUGAUAAUUUACAAGUUGUUAAUUUUUUUUGGCCUUACUGCCAUCUUCCAAGGAGUGACCAAAUCUUAAGUCGACUUGUAAUGUUUUGUUUAGGACAACAUAUCCAUUCAAUAAGAUAAAGUUUCACUUGCUUUUCAGACAAACAGUUAUUCUAGACCACAUGUUACAUGGCAUUGGCUUGCAACUCAUUUAUAGUCGUCUUCUUUGGGAAAAUGACCUUUGAGGGUAAUAAAGUAUUCGUCUUGUAUUCAUUAGGUCCCUUAUCUUUUUUUUGUCUUUAUUAUACCAUUGAACUUAUAAUCCCUGUUCACCAAAACCCUUGAUACCGGUUGUUGUAGGUUACUACUUAUGUGGAUAUUACGUGUCAUUAUGUGCCAUAAACUGGGCUUAUUAAUUGCAAAGUUACAGUACUGCAUCGUUCUUGCCCGUUCUUGCCCUAGAUCGACAUGUCUUCUUCUUCUUCUUCUAUUUCUUCCAAACGAAAUUUUGAAUUUCAACCUGAAAACCCUUGUUACUGUGGGUUGCCAUCUCGUGUACGAACUUCACGAACUAAGGACAAUCCAGGAAAAAAAUUCAGAUUGUGCCCAAACUCCAUGGUAAAGCAAUUGUUUUUUACUUUUCGUUUAAUCUUCUUUCUUUAACCAAUUUGUUACUUUUUUCAAGAAUGAAGGACCAAAAUGCAAGUUCUGGGAAUGGUUGGAGCCUGAAACCCCUGAAAAUGAAGUCAAUUCUGGGAAGGACAAAAAAGAACCGUGCAAUUUAACCCUCAAAGUUUCUAUAUUGGAAAACGAGAUCAGCAUAUGUAAGAUGAAGAUGGAACAAGAAAAUUUGGUUGUUAGACAAGAGUUUGAAAAACUCAAAUGGAAGCUAUUUACUCAUAAAGUUGUGAUGAUUGUGUUGUUUCUGUUGUUUGUGUUUAAGAAGUAGUUUAGCCCUUAAUUUAACCCUUAGUUUAGCUGUAUUCAAAGACUAAAUGUAAUCCUUAAUGUUGUAAUUUGUUUGAUGUAUUAUGACUAAAUCUUUUUGAUUAAUGAUAGUUUGAUGUUUUGAGUGCUUUCCAAGAAGUAUUAAUUUGUUUAAAAGGUUAAUGAAUUGGACAUGAUGCAUGGGUAAAAUGGUCCAGAUUAAAUUUGGCAGUGAAUUGUUAUUGUGUUGAUGUGAUGCAUGGGUAAAAUGGUCCAGAUUAAAUUUGGCAGUGAAUUGUUAUUGUGUUGAUGUGAUCCAAGGGUAAAAUGGUCCAGAUUAAAUUUGGCAGUCAAUUGUUAUUGUGUUGAUGUGAUCCAAGGGUAAAAUGGUCCAGAUUAACCACAUUGGAUACAUCAAACAUUUCUUAAUGUAUUAAGACCAAAUCUUGGCAUUAAUCAAUUGUUAAUGUCUUGAUGUGAUCCAAGGGUAAAAUGGUCCAUAUUAAAUUUGGCAGUAAUCAAUUGUCAAUGUGUUGAUGUGAUCCAAGGGUAAUAUGGUCCAGAUUAACAACAACAACAACACCAAACUUUGCUUAAUGUAGUAAUACUAAAUUUACUUGAUUUAUGAUAGAUAAUAUAAGAUUAAACAAUCUAUAUGCAAAUAACCGUACACCAAAGCAUAUAGAUAAAAGACAAAGUUGUAAUAUUCCAUCAGCAUGUGCACUAUUACAAAAGCUGUGCCCACAGUUGUCCUAAUAUGUCAAAAGAUGUGCCAUGUGCCAUGAUUCUUAAAUUUUUCCCAAUUACAUAUUUAUAAGACUAAAAGUUUGUCUUUCCAAAUAAAAUCAUUCCAACACCAUUGGGUUGUGUCCAGUGCUUCCUUCUUUCUUCAAAACCUUCCUUCUCAACCCUAUCUUGGUAAUUCUUUCUGAGUAUUUUCGUAUCCUCUGUCUAGUUGCAACUGGUUGAGCAGGGACAUCAACAUCUGGAUGUGGAUCAUCUACUUGAACUGGAUCCACUGGAGGAGCUGGUACAUCAACUGGAUCCAUUGGAUCUGCUUGAACUGGUUCAACAUGUGGAGCUGGUACUUGAAGUGGAUCCACUGGAUCUUCUUGAACUGGUUCAACAUGUGGAGCUGGUACUUGAAUUGGAUCUACUGGAUCUGCUUGAACUGGAUCAACCUGUGGAGCUGGUACUUGAACUGGAUCCACUGGAUCUGCUUGAACUGGAUCAACCUGUGGAGCUGGUACUUGAACUGGAUCCACUGGAUCUGCUUGAACUGGAUCCACUUGAACUGGUUCCACUUUACCUGCUAUACAAAUAUGUAGCUAAUGAGUUGGAUGUUCCAUUUAAAUUAUAUUGUUUUAAUAGCAUACCUUUCUCUUUUUUACAUUUUUUAGGUUUCUUGUUUUUUGGCCUUGAAGUGGAUGCUACAUCUGCUGGUCUAGUAGGACAUGUUGAUCUAUUGUGGCCCCUUUCUCUACAAAUAGUGCAUCUAUUAACUGAACCUGCUUUUGAGAUAGUAUGCCUUGUUUUCCCCUUGCUUUCCAUCUCAGAUUGAUCUUUUUUCCUUUUAAGGGUUGGCCUUCCUGGUAACCUUCUUUUUUGAGGAGGCAAUGGCUUCAUGUAGGGAGCUUCAGGCCACAUGGAACUACCAUUAAGUGGGUUAAUGGUAUGGUUGUAACAAGUCAAGAACAUGGCUGUAUGGAACCAUGGUGCAACAUAAUCCUCUGCAUUCCUGUUAAGGUAUGAAAUGGCUGCCACUGCAUGCACACAUGGGAUACCUGAUACUUGCCAAGAUCUACAUCCACAUGUGUUGUUGUUAAGGUCCACAGCAUAUCCAUCAUUUCCAAUCCUAACUUCAUAUUGUUGUAUCCCAGAUGGUAUAACACCCCAAAAUCUGCCCAAAAAAAUAAGAAGUUCUAUUAAUCUUAUAUAUGAGACAUAUAAUAUUAAUAUAAUAGAAGUUAUAUCAUACCUUUGCUGUUUCUUUAGCUUUGAUAUCUUCAACCUUAUAGAUGGACAUAUUUUUAAAUUCCCCCAACUUUGUCCCUCUUGCAACAUUUUAUACAUCCUCUCCAUUGCAUAAAUCCUUAUCUCUUCCAACAUGGUGAUGAGUGGCCUUUUCCUAGCAAGAUCAAUAAUAGAGUUGAAACUUUCUGAUAUGCCAUUCUCAUAAGCAUCACAAGCCCUGUCCACUUCAAAGAAUGCCCUGCACCAACUUUUAGGGUCCCUUUCCAUGAGGUGUUCAUAAGCCAAAGGGUCAAUUUUUUUUAUGGAAUUCAUUUCUGCCUCAAAUUUUGGUUGAGUAGUACUAGCAGCUGCUGCCCAAAACAACUUCCUAUAUUGUUCACCUUUGAAUCUUUUCUUGAAGUUAGCAUAGAUGUGCCUAGCACAUUGUCUAUGCUCUGCUGCUGGAACCCUUUCUUUGACAGCCUCUAUUAAUCCCUGAAAGAAAGCAUGAAAUAGAUGACAUAACAAAAACAUUCAACUUAAACAAAACAAAACAGAAAUAUACCUUGUGUUGGUCUGAUAUGAGGGUCAAUCCAUGACCAAUUCCCAUUUCAAUGUCAUCCAGAAGGAGGUCAAGAAACCACUUCCAUGUUUCCUUAUUUUCAACUUCCACCACAGCCCAUGCAAUAGGGAAGAUGUGGUUGUUUGCAUCCCUACCCAUAGCUGCUAACAGUUGGCCUCUACAUAUACCCUUUAAAAAACAACCAUCUACCCCUAUUACCCUCCUACAUGCUGCAAUCCAACCAUCCUUCACACCCUUAAAACAAACAUACAUUUUAGAAAAGUAGGUUGUGGAAUCAGGCAUGACAUUCACAUCUAUCUUUACUGUUGAACCAGGAUUUGUCCUCAUUAUUUCUUCUCCAUAACUCCAUACUUUACCAUAAUGUUCUAUCAAACUACCCUCUAUCUCAUCCAAAGCAUAUCUCCUAGCAUUUCUACAUUGAGUGACACUAACAAUCAAGUUAAACUUUGUACUCACUUUGGCCUUCAUUUUCCUUAUGCUCAUUUUAGGGUUCUUCACAAGUUGAUUCUUAAAAUGCAUUCCAAUCCAUUUAUAUGUUACAAUGGAACCAAGUUUGAAGACUCUUGAACAGUUAUGUUCAUCAACUAAUGACUUAAUUUGGAAAGACCUUUCACUGCUCAUCCAGGAAGCCCACAGUCUAAAAGGACAAGAGGGGUUCUUGUUCUCUUUACAACAUCUCACUAAUAACCUCUGACUAUCAUUUUUCUCAAAAUAAAGGUUGUACCCAUUCUUCACUGCAUAGUUAGUCAAACAAUUUUUCAAUUCCAUGGGGUUAGAGAAUCUCAUACCUAGAAUUGGCACCAUUUUGUCCCAUUUCUGGUUCUCAUUAUGGAUAGGGUACACUGGUUUGUCAUCUCCAUUCUUGGUUUCAACCUCAUCAGUUUCAGCCUCAUCAUCUAUAUCCUUACACAUACCUGACACCCGAUGUAAGAAUUCAUCACCAAUAGUCUUGUCAAGAGAAGGAAUGUAAUCAUCUGCUUCAUGCUCAUAUGGAACAUCAUCAGAAAGUUGUGAAUCUAUAUCAUCAUCCAGGUCUUCCUCAGAAUAAUGCCCUUCAUCAUCUUCCAUUACUUCCAUAUCAGCCCAAUCAAGUACAGGUUCAUUUUCGUGGUCUAUAUACACAUUCAUUCUUAGACCGGCUUCAUCACUAUAACCCGUUUCAAUAAACUCAAAGUAGUCAGCAUCAUUCCUAAUUCUCCUAAUACCCUCUGCCAAUGGUUCAUUUCUAGUGCAAUAAUAUACAUUAUCACAACUCCCUUCAAUCAACUUUGCAAUGAACAAGUUAAAGUCUUUGAAAUCCAUUGCACCAAAAUCGACAUCACGGAUUGAAACAACAACAGCGUUCAAGUACACUAAUGGUUUUCGUGCGAAUAAACCAUUAUAAUGUAUAUAAACUGUUAAAUACUUACUUUGUUUGGAAUCGGAGGCCAUCUUCUUCACUAUAACACUCGCAUUCACCAGUUCUCUUCAAUUUCCUAACCGUAUGCUUCGAUUGAACUUUUUCUUCCCUCAAUUAAAACGAACCCUAACUGUAGGGUGAAAGAGAAACGGUAAUUAAAUGUGUUCUAAUUCCACGUAAUAAGACAUGUCAUCUCUAAUUAAAUGUGGUAACCGGUAAAACAGGUGAUAACCGGUAUCAAGGGUUUUGGUGAACAUGGAUUAUAAGUUCAAUGGUAUAAUAAAGACAAAAAAAAGAUAAGGGACCUAAUGAAUACAUGACGAAUACUUUAUUACCCUCAAAGGUCAUUUUCCCCGUCUUCUUUACAUGAUGGCAAAUUCUUGUUUGAUAAAAAUUUCAUGGAUAAAAACCUUAUUUUCCAAGUGUACAACUUAUACCAAUAUUAUAUUUGUCCUGUGUAAUACACUAUAUAACAUUCCACAUAGAUAUAUUGGCUUCCACAAUAUUUGGGGAAAUACAUUUGGAAUUAUAGAACACCAUUAAAUAGGCCAAAUUGCCAAAACCAUAUUGCAUUUCAACCGUCAAUUUUGUUAAAAUAUAGACAAAAUUGAAAAUCAUAAUUGAGUUUGAAAAUGACCAUUUUCCAAUAUUUGAUCAUUUCGGCAUUUUCUUAGUAUGACUGUCAUUUUGUUUCAUUUAUGUACAGAAAUUGGUCAUUUUGAUCAUCCUUUUCUAUCCAAAUUAUAAAAUCCAAAACAUAUUUAUUGUUAUUUUGCUAUUGCAAUUUUAGAAACACUCGGACUACAACCAUUUAAUUGCGUGUUGUUAUUGUAAUUUUAGAAACACAUGUACUACAACCAUUUAAUUGUAUGAUGGGGUAUGGAGCCUUUGUACUAAUAUUUUUUUAACCGUGUUCUAGUUUCAAUAAAAAGUAUUAUCAAAGCCAGUAAGAUAUAAUCUCAUAGAAAGUGGUCGCUGUUAUAUUAUGAUAUUCUGGUCAAAACAAAAUAUUUAUGUUUUUUUAGUAGUCAAAGUAUAACUGUUACAAACUUACAAUUAAUAAUAUCAACUUAUCAUGCAAAUGUUCAACAAAAAAACUUAGUCCUUGUUUGCAAAACGAGCUUUUAGCUAAUGGGGGAAGCUUUAGCUUUUAUUUAAGUUGAUGUUUUCAACAAAAAUAGUUAACUUUUAAAACUGUAAAAGUUACAUAAAACUAAAAGUAAAAGCUCCCAAAAAUUAUUUGAAAUAGUUUUUGGAUUAAAACGCUUUUUGUUUAGAAUUUAAACUAAAAGUUCAUAUUGUGAUCAAUACAUUUUUUUUAAAGCUAAAAGCUUUUCACAACUAUAGUGUUUAGCUUUUGAAUUGGCCAAGGUAAUAUGGUCAUAAGUCACAACUGCGCGCCUUCAAACAUGCCUUUAAUUUCAUGUCCGACAGCCAUUGAACAAUAUUUACAUGAUUGUUUGAUUAUAAAUACAUUUUUGGUAAAUUUAAUUAAAAUAUGUAUAUGAUAAAAGAUCUAAUGAGUAAUGACCACUUAAUAUGUAUUUUCAUCUAUUUUUCCAAAUGAAAGUAACACUUUGAACGUGCAAUGUUUUAGCUUUUCCCUAGCAGAGAAAAAGAGUGAAUACACAAUGCCCUUGUACACUGCUCCUUAUGGUAAUAUUGCUUUCUCGAUAAAAAAGAGUAUUUAACCUUAUUAUACUUCUAGUUUAUUAGACAAAUUAAUCAAAGUAGUUACUUUAUUAGGGAAGAAACCAUUAGAGUAUCUUAAAACGAAUAGUUGGAGUAUUUUCAAUCUUUAUUUUGUAAGGAGUUGUUACAUUGCUUCGUAGUCACUACUCAUCAUAAUAUCAAAGGAAAAAAAGAUGAUUAAAAUCGAUACAAUGUCCAGCACGAUCUACCAUAGAAAUAGAACCAUAAAUGCAAUAAAUAUAACCAUAUGUAUGAGGUUUGAACGACCCAGUAGGUCGAUAAGUAUAUGGUAUAGUGUUUGUGUACUCCCAUUAAUGGUCUUGAUUAUCAUAUGUUUUUGCAAAGGAUCAAUGGGACAAAACUGAAAAGUAAUGUCUAUAUCUAUCAUUAAUUCUUACAAGCCAUGCAAUAUUUACCUUGGUCAAUUUCCACUGAAAUAAACUAAAAAGACUUACAAUAAUGCAUUUGUACAUUCAAGCCUUAAAAAAUAUUCGAUCUUCAGGUUACAAUAUCGAUCUCUUUGUUUUGUCGCAUCCUUCGGUGCAAUGAAACUAAACAAAAAAUGUCUAUAUCCACAAUUUUUACUAUGUUUGAAAUUUACCCAAAGAAAAUGACAAAUCACAUUUUUUUUGAACAAAUCAAAACCAAAGCAACCAUCUCCACAAUUUCACAGCAACACGACAGGAGAAGAAAAUGUGCUCCAUAUCUUCAUCAAAUUGUCGACAAAAGAGACAUAGUCUCGAGUUCAAAGUAAUACCUCUCUUCAAUUAAUUGUUAUAAGUUGGAAUUUAUUUUUGAACAAUCUCCAAACAAAGCAGUUGAUCUUGAAAGGAAUCCAGUUAACCCAAUGAAACCAUUCAACAUUAUUGGUAGAUGAACCAACAAUGAGACUCCUAAUCGCCUUCACAGAAAAAGAAUUACUGCCAUCACCAACACAUGGUCACAUGUCAAGACCAUUAUUUUACAAACUAAGUAAAUCAGAAAAUUGCCUAGACUAAUUCCACGGCCACCAAGAGCUAGAAUUAGACAUCACAACAACUCUGUCUAACACCAGACAAUUUUUAUUAGAUUCCACUACACACAAGUUGAGAAAAAUAUCCUUUAAAGUUGUAUCUCCACACCAUACAUCCUUCCAACAAAAUGUUUUAUCCCCCAUGCCUACACAUUUUUUAAAAAGAUCCUUAAGAACAAUUCCUUUAUCGCCAAAGUCAACAUCAAUUUGCAAGAUCUCAAGCCAAACUCCUUUUAGAGAUUUCUUUGCUAAAGGUUUUCCAUCAAUAAGCUUUAGAUUAUGAAGAUAUUUUAUCAGUGUUCUAAAUAGCGUAAGACGUGACUUGGCGUCAAUGUUAAGUCUCAAGCUUUUUCAAUCCGUUUGUAAGGCAUGACUUAAGGUGAAAAAUAUGUAUAUAAUUAAUAGUUUUAUAUAUAUUUUCUACUAUUAUUCAUUUUUAUACACAUAUACGACUUAAGACGGCAUUUCGUUAAAGCUUGGCGGCAAGUACAAGUCUUGCAGCCAUGGCACGCCAUGAUGAGCUUUUUAGAACAUUGGAUUUUAUACACGAAAAUCAAAUUGUAUCGAACCUAUUCUUGAGCCGCCACCACCAUUUAGCAAGGAGCGCUAAAUUAGCAGAAUCAAGGCAACCAACACCAAUACCACCUUUCUCUUUAGGUUGAAUAACAACAUCCCAAGACACCUAAUGUUUUUUUUUCUUAAGAUCAUCACUACCCCAAAGGAACCUCCUUCUAAUACUCUCAAGAAGAUGAAUAACUUUCUUAGGGGCCCAAAAUAACGGAAAAUAAUAAAAGAGGUAAACUAAUUAAGACCGACUUCACAAGAGUAAGACGACCGCCAAAAGACAAGGACCUCGCUUUCCAUUUAGAAAGUCUAGCUUUAAAUUUCUCAAUAACUGGCGGCAAAUUUUUAGCAAGCCUCCUAUUAGCACCCACUGGCAGCCCAAGGUAGGUAAAAGGGAAGGAAGUGGGUUCACACUUCAAAAUGCUGGUAAGCCAUUACACCUCCAAGCUAUCCACAUCAACACCAUAUACCUUACUCUUAUUUGUGUUCACAUUCAAGACCAAAGCAAGAAAGAAACAAUGACGAAUACGAUUGAGAUUGAUAAAGUUUAAUUCUGACCCUUCACCAAUGAAAAUGACAUCAUCAGCAUACAUUAGGUGUGAAAGAGAGAAACAACCAUUUGGAAAAGAGACACCCCUAAAAUGAUGAAGAUCACACGUCGCCUCCAUAGAAACAUGAAGCCCCUCCAUAGCUAUAAUGAAAAGAAAAUGGGACAAAGGAUCUCCUUGUCUAACACCUCUCAUGACAUCGAACUCCUUUGUAGGGGAUAUUCAUUAAAACGGAUGUUUUGCUAGAGCAAAUACAACCCGAAAUCCAUCUUCUCCAUUUCCAAUUGAAUCCCAUUUGCCCCAUAAUCGAAUCAAGGAAACCCCAACUUAAGGAAUCAAAAGCUAUGUCGAAAUCUACUUUGAAAAUAAGAGUUUUUUCUUCACCUUUUUAGACCAAGAACAAAUCUCAUUAAGCAGUAGGGACCGUCCAAAAUACUUCUCCCUCUCACAUAUGUCGAUUGUUCCGGGCUAAUAGUUUUGGUAAUGACUCUUUUGGGUCGAUUGGCAAGGACUUUAUAGAGCACUUUGUAGAGACACCCGACAAGAUUCUCCGGUCUGUAAUCUUUCAAAUAAAGAGGGUCCUUUGAUUUUGGAAUAAGAGAAAUAAAAGAUGAGUUGCAACCUCUAACUAAGAUACCAGAGUCACCAAAGUCACGAACAAACAAAAUCACAUAAUCUUUAAUCAACCCCCAAUAAAAUUUCAAAAUUUUGAAGGUAAACUCGUUCGGGCCAAGAGCCUUUUCAUUUCCACAACACCGAACAACCUCUUUAAUUUCAUCUUCAGGCAAAGGCUUUGUGAAAACAACCCUAUCAGAAUCAUCAAUCUUCCUGAACCUGUUACUUAUUAACUUAGGUCGAUUAUACAAUGGUUCGCUGAAUAUUUUUGAGAAAAAGUUCUACGCUUCAUCUUUUAUCUUAAGCAUAUCAUUUAUCCAAAACCCAUCAAUAACAAGACCAUUGAUAUGAUUUUCCCUUAAAUUAUUAUUCAGCCUUGAGCUCCAAAUCAUCAAUCUUCAAGAGUAAACAAUUAAGUUCCUCCAAUUCUUUCCUAUUGGAGUCAGCUCUCCAAAUUUUAAUAUCAUUCUUCACAUAAAUUAAUUUUUUUCCAGUCUCCUAUCUGAAGUUUAUGAAGGCAAGCAAUUCAUCCAAGCUUUCUUCACCACCUCAUCAAGUCCUUCCAAAAAGCACCACGAGUUGAAGAAUCCAAAGGGACAAGGUCCAAAAUCAUGAACUUCACUCAAAAGCAUAACCGGGGAAUGAUCUGAAAACCUCUUAGGAAGAAUUGUGGCUGAAAAUAAGCCCCAUUUGUUCAUAAAACCUUCACAUGCAAGGAACCGAUCAAUUUUGUUGAGACUGAUGGGUUUAGAGCAAUACAUCAUUCCUAUGGGGUACAUGCAAACCCUAAUAGCUUCUGGAUCUAAUUUGUCUAAUGAACAUGCAAUUGAAUGUCCAAUACUAUAAACCCUAGAUCUAUCAUAUAAGAACUAAAAUAAGGGUUUAGUAAUUACCUUUGAUUGUUAUAUAGCAAUAACAAUCUAAUCCUUGGCUUUGGAAAGCUUAGUGCCUCAAGUGUUGCACCUCUAAUGGAGUCACAAAAACCACUAAGCAACAAGAUGAAGAAGAGAAGAGAAAGGAGGCUCCAAAACGUCUAGGAAACCCUAAGGAUUCAAUCACCACGUUUUUUGGGGCUUCGUGGCUCCUUAAAUAGGUAGGCAAUUAGGGUUAUCUAACAAGGAAACCCUAAUUUGACUGCUUAAGCCCUAAGCAGCCCAUGGACCUCUUCUGGAACAUGCCUUGGACGAUUUCUAAUGGGCUUCUCCAUAAAAUUCGUCCAACCUAUUAUUCCAAGGUGAUCCAUAGCCCAAUUGCAAUUAUCUUAUAAUUACAAUUCCAGCCCCCUAAGUUCAAUUAAUCUCUUUUAGCCACAAAAUUAAUUCUUGACUAAUAUUAAUUAAACAAUAUGAUUUCUCCUUUAAUAUAUUAUUCUCAUAAUAUAUUAAUAAAUCAAAAUUAAACAUUUCUCUCCUUAAUUCAUCCUACAAGUUGCUAUGGUUAAGGCAACCCAAAAGGACCAUGCUCAUAAUCGGGUCAUGUACAUACCAAAAUAGUUAUGGACCUAGACACUAAUCCAACAGUCUCCCACUUGGAUAAGUCUAAUAACUAUUUUUCAUAACUUCAGAACUUGAUCAGCAAUCGUAGCUUUCAUAAGCCGCUAUCAACUCUGAUCUUAUCAGAUAUGCGUGUCCUUUAGAUAAGGGAUUAUAUAUUCCUCCAUUCUAGAUAUCGUAUAGACAUGAGACAUUAAUUUUAAUCAUUCUCUCUAUACUGUUUCCCGACUUCCGAUUUAUGACGACUGGAAACAGACUAUAAUUGAACACAUCAAUUUAGUCCCGGCUUGGCCAAGCGCUUAGGUGCCAUCACUAAAUCAUUAAGGGGCCCAAAGAUAUCACUUUUANCACCACAUUGGGUAAAAGGAAUGGAUAAAAUUUGACUUAAAUGCUUGCUUGCACCUACUAAUCGAAUCACACACAACAAUAAGUUUUAUAACAUCAAGUUACUGGUGCGUUUAUUUAUCAUCAAUGUGCAACCGACCAGCAAAUAACAACUCACACGUCUCAUUUUCAAGAAUAUACAAUGUUAUCGUCUCACUAAUCACCCGUGAUAAAUCCAUGAAGUGAUUCAAGUGAGCGUGAGUUUAAUCCAAUACUUUAAUCUUAUCAAAGCACUCAUGAACUCUGCAGCAAACUUGUUCUAUGUCUAAACACUUUAGACAAUCUACAUACAUAUUCACGACAGUCUUCCUUCAUACCUACUUACAACGUAUAACCGACUAUGGAGGUUCGAAUAACCCAGUUAUUCUAGAAGUCAAAACAUGCAAAAUGAAACGCAACGAUAAUACUUAAUCCUAUAUGGCCCCAAAACUUUUGAGCGUAAAUAAAACACUUUUAUUAAAACACCAUAUUGACUACUCAUUACUCAUUGUUUAAUGUUUCGGAUAAUCAACUUAUUACUUGAAUUACAACAAUAGUUGUCCCAUGCUCCGAGCAUGCACACUAUGUUACCUAUGAUCCUUACUUUGUGAAAUAGAUCAAUAGAAAACCUUUCCAAUGAAACUCAUUUCACAAUUCCCAAUCCUCAUCAUUAGUGUAAGAAUACCAAAUUCUUGCCACUUUUGGAAUAUGUCAGAUUCUAACAUUUUAUGCGACGAUCCUUUCGCAAUGUCAUAGCACAAAAGUCACCAAGACUUGGCUAAUGAAAUUCCAAGGUAUUCUAUCGGAUAUGUUACAAGACAAUUCCAUAGACGCGAAGUCUCACAUUCAAAGUACAUUCCUUUGAACAUCCUUCUUGCAUAAAAGUCUCUAAUCUAGCCAUAGACUCUCAAUAUCCAACUCCCAAUAUGGAAACAUUUCCAUAUUUGCCAUAUGACAACUCAUUCUAAAUAGAAUCUUAUUUAUUCAAAAUAAUGUCAACAUGGUCCAUCCAAUACUAUACUUCCAACUACUCACAAGCAACAAAUCCUUGGCGAACCUUAGAUCGUCCUUUGAUAGUUGUUUAAUUAUUUUAGCCAAAACCGUUCUAGUCCUUUUUCCCUCUUAAUGCGCUAAGCAUUUGGAAAAUUUUAGAAUGAUCAAACAUUAUAGCAUAUGCAAUCGAUCCUAUACCUGAAGCGUAUGGAACACGAUUCAUAAUGUCUCACACGAAGACAUGAUACUUUACCAGUCUUCUGCUAUAAUAUUUCUAAUUGCCUUGUUCUCACAAUUUUGAUUAUGAAAAGGGAUGUCGUAAUCGUAACCAAAUUUUGAGAAUGCAAUUAUCCGUUCCAUAUAUAGAAUUUCCUCAUGUUGAACCGUUCCAGCACAACAUUCUUAUAUAUUUGACUAAAUUUGAUUAAAAUUCUACAAUCUAAGCCUCUAGAUUUGAAAUGAAGUAUAAAAUUCUCUCCCUUAAUUAUAGCAAAACAACUUUUCAACCCCUGCAACUUGGCAAAGUGAAUCUUCGUUUUCCUAUAAUUAAUAUUGCUAACUUGCAAUACUUGAAAUAAUAAUCAUGCUCCCACUAACGCGAUGAUUAUUACUAUACAAGCAUAACACUUAUGCUCCCACUAGCUUUGACAUAUAUUCAGAAAACAUUUGAACUUCCAGAAAACAAUGUUUAUCGAAUUCCUUAAGUUCAUAUUUCUAAAUACCUGAUGCUUUGAGAAUCAUUUAUCACGCUUCUUAAACUCAUACACCUUUACUUAAAUAGCUUAUAUGUGCGUCUAAACAAUUCUAGAACUCAAGUUACUAAGUCCCAAAAUAUUCAGACUAAUUGCCAAAUCUCACAAUUCGAGCUAUGAAAAGGGAUGCCGUAAUCAUAAUCGAAUUUGAGAAUACAAUUUUCACAAUUUCAAUCUUCUUAAAAUCUCUCUUAGUGAAAGCAUUUCCUUACAAUCAUUUUCAUGAAGAAUGGAAACCUUAUGACACUUAGAUUUUAUGGUGUAUGUGUUCCUAUCCAUUUGAAUUUGCCAAAACCAAAGUUUGCGACAAAUCCAAACUCAUAUGGACCGAACGUGCUCAAUCUCGAUUUCUUGCCUCACGGUAACAUGAAUGCCCACCAUGUCUUCCAAGCAACUCACCCUUUCAUAUUCAUUGUACUUUCCAUUGAUCAAGGUGCUUUAUCUUUAUGUUUUCAAAUGAGAACUCAUAGAAUUCACAUGCAUAAUUAACUCAAUUGGAAUGGCACAUAAAAAGAGUAUGUCAUCCACGAUAGGCUUUAAACCUCAAGUCGUGUGCUUGUGAUGAUCAACUAGGUUUAACUCUUGAUUUGUUCUUGAAACCUUUCAAGACCAUUAAGACUCCCACUGACUCCUUGACAUAUAAGAUUCUCUUGUUAAGAAACAUUCCUUGACAAAACAAAAAUUCAAGAGUUAGUGUAGUUUUAUCAAGACUAUCACUUCACAUAAUUGGUUCUAGUUGGUCUUUGUCUUAUCCAAGACAUCACAGCUUACCAAUCUCAAAUGUGCAGGAAUAAUAAGACCUUUUCUAAUUCCACAUUUGUUGAGUGUUAUAAACCUACUAAAGGCGUGCCACUCAAUUCACAAUCUUGGAGUAUAACUCUAAGACUUGAUAUUGGAAUGAAGUAUGAUUGACUUCUUAACCAUUUCCAUAAUUCUCGAUUCCUCUUCUUAGACAUACAAAUACACUAAGACUUACUUAGAGGAUCAAUUGAGAUACGGUUCUUAAUCAUUAAGACUUAUCAUAAAACACAAUAAAAGGUACUCUCCCUUCUUCUUAGAAUGGAGAAACUUUUAUCUUUCUGCCUACUUGAUUCUUCUUUAUUCGUUUUGCUAUUCAUUGAAACCUUUUCAAUCAACUCAGAAUUACACUUAGUCUUAUAAGUAUAAUCAUAUUUACUAAACUUUAGUAAAUCAUGAAGAAUAUCUUUAUCACUCUUGUGGUGGACUUGAUUAGCUCACAACCAAGUGUACCUGAUCCUUAGCCCUUCACUUGACUCUUUGUCAAGGAAUUAGUCUAAUUUCCAAAAUAUGAAGUUUUUUCAUUCAUCACGCAAUGCAUGUUGCAUGAUUCCAAGUUUUUGUCCAAUUGAAACUUGGGCGAUGAGAAACUCUUCUUAUUUGGUUAAUUCUCGACAUUUCCACAAAUAACAUAAUUAAGAAUCAAAUCCAUUAUUGCUAAUAGUAGAAACAUUCAAACAUCAAUUUUUCAUACAUGCCAUUGCAAGGAUAAAUAAAUAUGACAAAAUCAAAUUUUAUUUUAUUGCGGAAAAACUUUGUCCUUACAAUGCAAUUCAAAUGAAAAACUAUACUAUUACAUAUUUCUUAUCAAUCUACCCUAACUCUAAAUUAGCAGCUCAAAAAUCCGAUCUUCAAGCAAUGCGAUCGAAAUCCAUUUCUUCACAAUCAGAUUCAGCUUACUUCUUCCCUUAAGCUUCCUCUCUUUUCUUCGAUUCUACAAAACAUCAAAAUGUAAUCUUAUCACAUCAUGUAUUGAAAAUCAAAGAAUAGGAACUUAUAGAGUUAGUUAUUGGAUUUUACCUGAAGUAGAGCCAUACGUCUUGACUCUCCCAUCUCUUAGAUCUCUUAGGUAGUUUGGGCAGCUUCGUCUCCAAUGCCCCUUCUCUUGGCAAUAAAAGCAAAUGGACUCUUUUGGCACAUCACAUGGGACAAUCUCAUACUUAGUCCUUUCUAGACUUCCAAUGUAUCCAGUGUCCAUUGAAGUUUGGGAGUUUGAUUCACCCGACAAAUUUGCUUGACCAGCACGCCAAAUGAUUGUUGAUUCAGCAGCUAUAAGCAAAUAGGUGAAAUCAAUGAGGGUCACGUCUUGGUCCAUCAUAUAGUACUCUCUAACGAACUUACUAUAUGAUUCAGGAAGCGACUGAAGAACCCAAUCAAUAGCCAACAUCUCUUAGAUAUCGACAUCCAUCAUCCGUAACCUAUCAAUGUGUGACUUCAUCUUUAAGAUGUGUGCACACACAUGUUUCCCAUCUUCGUGUUUACUUGUCAAAAGGGCUUGAGUGAGCUUAAACUUUUUAAGCCUUUGAACUUGUGAGUCAGGGAGAAUAAUUGGAGGAGGUGGAGGAAGUGAAGCAUGAUCUCUAGUUUCUCGAUCAUAUCGUGAAAAAUCAUCUUCAUUUGGAAAGCUUGUUCCAUGGGAUUUGGGAAGACCAUUGUUAGAUUCAAACAUCUACAAAACGGGAGAAAUUCAAGUCAAGUUGAUUAGAAUCCUUGAUGUAACACCCAAAUGAAACAUAAAGGCUAGGAUCCAACAUAAUACUCUACAACCUAGAAGAGGGAUGUCGUAAUCUAGUUGCAGAAUAUUUGAAGGUAGGUAAAUGACGAUUUACCAAUUUCCAUCAUGAAAAACGAAAGAGAAAAUUGAAGUUUUAAAUGAAUUGAAACUCCUAGAUCUUUUGAGAUUCAUUGAACUUUUCAAUGGCAUGUUUAAUAUCGAUUAUUCCCUUCAAGUUUGUGACUGGGAUGCCGAGGAUCACAAGUAAGGUGUGAAUAACCGUGCGAAUCACGUGGUGCACUCAAUGCUACUAUCACCUAAUCAAUGUGCUGGUUAGCCACACACGCUCCAUUGAUCUAUGAUAAACAUCGAGCCACCCUUCUUUACCAAUGCCAAACCCAAAUUAGUGUGCCGGUUAACCACACACGCUCCACUAACAUCUCGGCAAGGGUACAAAGUGUCAUUCCAUUGAUUAACAUACAAUUUCACAUUUUGCCUAAAGUAACUAUGAUUUGAAAAUUUGAAAAACAUUUAGUUACUUUGUACUUCAUUAUACUUAUAAUGGAAGGUUUUUGUCCUAUCCUACCCGUUCGGCUAACGACCCUCCACCAGUUAAGAGUGCGGUGGGUAAGAGUGGAUACCCAUUCAAUCGCCAUUUUAUAGGCAAUUUCAUUAAACACCCCUUAUACACCAGCUUCGUGAAUGAGGCCUACUAACGAUAANNNNNNNNNNNNNNNNNNNNNNNNNNNNNNNNNNNNNNNNNNNNNNNNNNNNNNNNNNNNNNNNNNNNNNNNNNNNNNNNNNNNNNNNNNNNNNNNNNNNNNNNNNNNNNNNNNNNNNNNNNNNNNNNNNNNNNNNNNNNNNNNNNNNNNNNNNNNNNNNNNNNNNNNNNNNNNNNNNNNNNNNNNNNNNNNNNNNNNNNNNNNNNNNNNNNNNNNNNNNNNNNNNNNNNNNNNNNNNNNNNNNNNNNNNNNNNNNNNNNNNNNNNNNNNNNNNNNNNNNNNNNNNNNNNNNNNNNNNNNNNNNNNNNNNNNNNNNNNNNNNNNNNNNNNNNNNNNNNNNNNNNNNNNNNNNNNNNNNNNNNNNNNNNNNNNNNNNNNNNNNNNNNNNNNNNNNNNNNNNNNNNNNNNNNNNNNNNNNNNNNNNNNNNNNNNNNNNNNNNNNNNNNNNNNNNNNNNNNNNNNNNNNNNNNNNNNNNNNNNNNNNNNNNNNNNNNNNNNNNNNNNNNNNNNNNNNNNNNNNNNNNNNNNNNNNNNNNNNNNNNNNNNNNNNNNNNNNNNNNNNNNNNNNNNNNNNNNNNNNNNNNNNNNNNNNNNNNNNNNNNNNNNNNNNNNNNNNNNNNNNNNNNNNNNNNNNNNNNNNNNNNNNNNNNNNNNNNNNNNNNNNNNNNNNNNNNNNNNNNNNNNNNNNNNNNNNNNNNNNNNNNNNNNNNNNNNNNNNNNNNNNNNNNNNNNNNNNNNNNNNNNNNNNNNNNNNNNNNNNNNNNNNNNNNNNNNNNNNNNNNNNNNNNNNNNNNNNNNNNNNNNNNNNNNNNNNNNNNNNNNNNNNNNNNAUAUAUAUAUCAAUUAAUAAAAAUAAAUAAACAUUAGUUCUCAUCUAGGUAUGUUUUAAUAAGAAUAGCAAAAAAAGUCUUAAAAUUAAUAAAUUAACACAUUGAUUAACAAAUUUCUUGAUACUUAUUUUUUGAAGAGCACAAAAUCGAUGAUACAAAAGCACAUGACGCUAAAACUCAAAAGGAAUACUAACUUCUCAUUCCUUGUAUUGUUUCCAUUUGCUUCCUUAGGCAACUUGCUAGGGGUGGGUCUCUUUUAAUCCUUUUAGUCGCUUCCAAAAGAUAAAAUAGUAACACAAGCAAGUGAAGCAAUGACCAAUUGCACAAAAAUUUAACUCAUAUUCACGUAUAGGUAUAUAUUAAUUAAAUUGUUUGGUAUUUACCAAAUACAAAUAUGUACCAACCAAAUUUGUUGGUAGCCAAAUUAGUUGGUACCAAGUAUACUUGGUACGGUACUGGUAGUUAAAUUCUUAUGCCAACUAUAGUUGGUACGGUACACGGUUUGGAGAAAAAAACUUGGUACCGUACCAAUUCAACCCCUAAGGAUAUCUAUUAUCAUAACAAAAAAUCUUAUUUUUAUUUGAAUAAAUCAAUUUAUGGUAAUUAUCCUAAGCAAAUUAAGGCAAAAAUCCCGAAAUUGUGUUGUUAGACUGAAUUCACGAGGUGAACACACUGUGUUCACGACAUGAGUUUGGUUUAAUUCGAAAUUCUGCUGACAGACUGAAUUCAUGAGGUGAACACACUGUGUUCACGACGUGAAUCAGGUCAGAUUCCAAAUUCACAAUUUUUUAGCUUUGAAAACAUAAUUUUGCAUCAAAUACAAUAGAAAAACACACUAGGCUCUGAUACCACUGAUGGGUUUAGAGCAAUACAUCAUUCCUAUGGUGUAAAUGCAAACCCUAAUAGCUUUUGGAUCUAGUUUGUGUAAUGAACACGAAAUUGAAUAUCCAAAGCUAUAAACCCUAGAUCUAUCAUAUAAGAACUGUAAUAAGGGCUUGGUAAUUACCUUUGAUUAUUAUAUAGCAAUAACAAUCAAAUCCUUGGUUUCGGAAAGCUUAGUGCCUCAAGUGUUGCACCUCUAAUGGAGUCACAAACACCACUAAGAAACAAGAUGAAGAAGAGAAGAGAAAGGGGGCUCCAAAACAUCCAGGAAACCCUAAGGAUUCAAUCACCACGUUUUUUGGGGCUUAGGGGCUCCUUAAAUAGGUAGGCAAUUAGGGUAUCUAACAAGGAAACCCUAAUUUGACUGCUUAAGCCCUAAGCAGCCCAUGGACCCCUUCUGGAACAUGCCUUGGACGAUUUCUAAUGGGCUUCCCCAUAGAAUUCGUCCAACCUAUUAUUACAAGGUGAUCCAUAGCCCAAUUGCAAUUAUCUUAUCAUUACAAUUUCAGUCCCCUAAGUUUAAUUAAUCUCUUUUAGCCACAAAAUUAAUUCUUGACUAAUAUGAAUUAAACAAUAUGAUUUCUCCUUUAAUAUAUUAUUCUCAUAAUAUAUUAAUAAAUCAAAAUUAAACCUUUCUCUCCUUAAUUCAUCCUACAAGUUGCUAUGGUGAAGGCAACCCAAAAGGACCAUGCUCAUAAUCAGGUCAAGUACAUACCAAAAUAGUUAUGGACUUAGACACUAAUCCAACAGAGACUUCACCAUCUUCACUAAUCCAAGUGAAUUUUCUACCCCCUAAUCUGAAUUCUAAUAACUUAGCAUCAUCAAUAGAAGAGUUGAAAGCUACUAUAGAGGAAUUACACCCCAAUUGUAGAAUCUUUCCUGCUUGAGUAUGAUCUCAUUGAAGUCACCCAUUAACAACCAACAGCCAGACAUAUAAUUAAUAAAGCCAAACAGGGAGCACAAAAGAAACGAUCUGGCGUCACCAUCCACAAGGGCAUACAUGUUAAUAAUAUAUGUGAUUCCAUUCAUUCCACUUCAAAAGCCCAUGAUCAGGAUAAAAAUGGAAUCAAGAAUGACAUUUACUUUUUGAAAACAAGAGGAUUCCGAAGACAGAAAAGACCACCUAACCUUCCUUGAGAGACCACUCUCUCACUGUCGAAAAUAGAACCAUCCUAGAAUUUCUUUAUAGGAAUAUCACACACAUCUUUGAUUUGAGUCUCUUGAACACUAAUGAAACUAUUUUGACGCGACAUCUUAAGAUCUAUAACCUAAUCCGCCUAAUAAACACCUCCCGCUCCUCUCAAAUUAACCUAUAAACAAUUCAUGUAAGACCCGUACAAACCAUUUCUCAUUCAAUUACAUAUCUUAAGGCCUGAAUCACACCAUCCAAGUUAAAACCAAUUUCCUUACCUGUAACGCCUUGUUCCGAAUUGCUUUCCUAAUUCGGGACUGUGGCCUGAGGAUAGAUUAUCAUUGUUGGUUUAGGUGUCUAAGUUCAUAACUAUUCUGGAAUGUACUUGACCCGAUUAGCAUGGUCCAUUUGGGUUGCACGGCAUCAUGCAUUUGGAUAGACCAAAAUGAGAGAAAUAAUACUUAAGGUUAUUAAUAUAUUAUAAGUUCUAAUAUAUUAAUAAUAUUAUUUAAUUAGUAUUGAUCAAGAAUUAAUUUUGUAUUAAUUAAGUGAUCAAAAGAAGACUAAUUAAAUAUAUGGGUUGAUUGUGUAAAUCACCCAAUACUUGUAUAGUGGGCUAAUACUCCAUGGAUUAUCAAGUUGGGCUAAAACUCAUAGGAUGCUCCAUGGUGUCUUUGAACCCAUGGAUCAUGGAAAUUAAUAGUCAUGUCAAUUAGGGUUUACUUGGUGUAACCCUAAUUAUGACACACUAUAUAGGCAACAUGUUGUAGACCAAAAUCGGCACUAGUGUGAGAACAAGAGGGCAUAGCCAAUUUUAGAAGUGUUCUAUUUCUCUCAAGGUUAUUCCAAAUGUAUUUGGUGCUGUGUGAGACAUUUGAGGCAUCACACUUGAGGUGCUAGGCUCACAAGGUUCUCAAGGAAUCCAAACAACUAAAGGUACGUAUUUCUUACUAUCUUUUAUGUUUAAAAGUUCCCUAUGUAUGCUAGAUAGGUUAUGAACCUUGGAAAAUCAAUUUUUCAUGUAUCAUAGUAAAACAUAGAUCCAAGGUUUCAAGGGUUGCAUGUACACCUUAGGAGUGUUAGAAUGCUCAUAACCCAACAGUGGUAUCAGAGCCUAGGCUUGUUUGCUUGAUAUUUGAUGCAAAACUGUGAAAAAAGCUAAAAAUCUUACUGUCUGGACAGUGGACUCGUCGAGUCCAUGGGGGGACUCGACAAGUCCAAGCACAAACUCAUCCUACUCGUCGAGUAGGUUCAUGCACUCGACGAGUAGGAGCCCCAGAAUGCAGUUUUUCGACUUUUGCUACUGGAAAUGGACUAGAAACAUUACCCUAAACUGUUUUGGCCUUAUAAAACUUCUUUUAGAUGGUGUAAUGGUUAUGCUAAUCCAUUUUCAAUAGCUAUUAUCAAAAUUUCAAGUUUUAUAUGGUUAAUUUUAUGAUUAUUGAAAUUAUUGAUAUGCAUGUUCAUGAACUUAUGAGUUUAGAAGAUCAUAGGAAUUAUUUGUAACUUGCUUGUUAGUUUAAUUCUUGAUCAUUAUGUGUUUUAAUGGAAUCCAUAAUUUGUCCUCAAGUUAUGGAUUACCAAAAGUCAUUCUUUUAAAGUCCAUUAAAGAAACAUAUAGGUUACAUAUAAUGAAAAGUCUCUCAUUUUAUUAAAACAUUUAACUCAUAAGUUAUGAAAGAUGAAAAGUUUUGAAAGUUACAAAACUUGCCCUCAAGUUUUGGAACAUGUAAAGUCAGUUUAAAAACUUUAGUUCCAACCCCUAGAAUUUUAAAAGUUAAAAUCCAACCCUUAUACUUUAUAAUAUUAUAAGUUAAUAAUAAUUAUAUAUGUAUAAGAAUAAGUCGUUUUACAGUUAGUAGGCCUCAUUCACGAAGCCGAUCUAUAAAGGGGUAUAAGGUUGCUGCCUAUAAAAUGGCAGUUUAAUAGGUGUCCACUCUCACCCACCGCUUCAUUGACUGGUGAAGGGUCGUUAGCCGAACGGGUAGGAUAGGNNNNNNNNNNNNNNNNNNNNNNNNNNNNNNNNNNNNNNNNNNNNNNNNNNNNNNNNNNNNNNNNNNNNNNNNNNNNNNNNNNNNNNNNNNNNNNNNNNNNNNNNNNNNNNNNNNNNNNNNNNNNNNNNNNNNNNNNNNNNNNNNNNNNNNNNNNNNNNNNNNNNNNNNNNNNNNNNNNNNNNNNNNNNNNNNNNNNNNNNNNNNNNNNNNNNNNNNNNNNNNNNNNNNNNNNNNNNNNNNNNNNNNNNNNNNNNNNNNNNNNNNNNNNNNNNNNNNNNNNNNNNNNNNNNNNNNNNNNNNNNNNNNNNNNNNNNNNNNNNNNNNNNNNNNNNNNNNNNNNNNNNNNNNNNNNNNNNNUUUUCAUGGUGGAAAUUGGUGAAUCGUCAUUCGCCUACCUUCAAAUAUUUUAUAGCUUGGAUUACAGCAUCCCUCUUCCAAGUUAUAAAAUAUUGUGUUGGGUCCUAGCCUUAAUAUUUCAUAUUGGGUGUUAUAUUAAGGACUUUAAAUCAACUAUCUUGAAUAUCUCCCAAAAGAUGUCUGGUUCAGACAAUUAUGAUCUUCCCAAAAUUCUUGGAAUAAGCUUUCCUAAUGAAGAUAAUGUCCCGUGACUGGAUCAUGGAAAUCAUCCUUCAAUUCCUCCACUUCCUCCAAUUAUUCUGCCUAACCCACAAGUUCAAGGUCACUCAAGCCCUAGUGGCAAGCAAGGUCUAUGUGUGAUCACAUCUUGGAAAAACUUCCAAAUCUAAUCAAGAAAAAAAAACAUAUAGUUCAUCGCUAGCACACGACUUGAGGUUUAUAACCUAUCGUGUUGACAUAUUCCUAUUUCUGUGCCCAUUCCAAUUAAAGUUGGCUUUGCAUAUGAGUUCUGAGAGUUCUCGAUUGGUUGCAUAACAACUUGGAAGCAAUGGCAGGCCCUUGAGCUGUCAGGUGGCAAGAAGUUAAGACUGCACAAGCUCAAUCCAUAAGAGUUNCAAAUUAGUGACAUUGGAAAUCCAGAAAGCUUUCUCUUCCCAAUGGAAAGGGAUCGGCCAUAAGAGAAAGGCUAAGUCUGAGAUAGUCCUGUGUACCAUUCCCAAAGGGUCCAUAUGGCUUUAUUGCCAAAAAGGAAGGGGCAUUGGUUACUAAGCCGCCCUAACUACCUGAAAGAUCUGAGAGAAGGUCUAGUCAGAAAGUUUGAUUCUGCUUCAGGUAAGUCCACUAUCUAACUUUGUUAAGUUCCUUAUUGAUGAUUCUUAAUAAAAAAUUUGGCUCGGUUACAUUUUGGUGUUUGGCAGAAUCAAGCAAAGGGAAGGACACUUAAAGAAAGAGUAUGUUGAAUCUGAUCGUGAAGAUGGAUUUCAAUCGCAUAGUUCGAAGAUCGGAUUCUUGAGCUACUAUUUAGGAGUUAUGAUAGAUUUCUAUGAAAUAUGUAAAAGCAUAGUUUUCAUUUAAAGCUGCAUUGUAUGGAAAAAGUUUUUCUGCAUUUUAUAAAUAAAUAAAUAAAAUUUUGAUUUUAUUUUAGUUUAUAUCUCCUUGCAUUGGCUUCUAUGGAAAAUUGAUGUUUCUAGCAAUAAUGGAAAUAUGAAUUUGAUUCUUUCAUUUGUGGUAGUGUCUAAAUUUACCAAAUAAGUAAAGAUUCUCAUCACCCAAGUCUCAAUUGGACCGAAACUUGGAAUCAUGCAAGUUGUAUAGCAUGAUGAAUGAGAACCUUCAGCUUUGGAAAAUUAAGACUAAUUCCUUGUUCAUAUUUAUAUGUGAGUCAAGUGAAGUCUAAGGGAUCAAUUACACAUUCUUGUGCACUGGUCAAGUCCACCAUAAAAGAUCGAUAAGAUUAUCUAUCAUGAUUUACUAAAGUUUAGUAAAUAUGGUUAUACUUACCAGUUUAAGUAUAAUUUUGAAACAUUGGAAAAUUUUCAAUGUUUUGCAGGACGAAUGGGAAGAAUCAAAUUAGGCAGAAGGAUAAAAGUUUCUCAAAUCUGAAAAGAUGGGACAGUACAUUAGUAUCAUGUUUAGUGAUCAUCUUAAUGAUUAAGAAACCAUAUAAAUAUUGGUUCUCUAAGGACAUCUUAGUGCAUUUCUAUGGCUAAGAAGAGGAAUCAAGAAUUGUUGAAGUGGUUAAAUCAAGAAGAUGAGUCAUACUUCGUUCCAAAACAAGUCUUAGAGUCAUACUCCAAGAUUUUAACUUGAGUGACAUAUAUUAAAGAAGGUUUAUUAACACUAGUCAAAUGUAAGAGUGAAAAGUGUCUUACUCUUGUACAUUUGAAAUUAGUAAGUUGUGAUGUUUUGGAUAAAACAAAGACCAAUUAAGGCCAAUUGUGUGAAGUGUUUGUCUUGAUAAAGAAUCCACACUAUCUCUUGAAUAUUUGGCAAGUGAGUCUUAUAUGUCAAGAGGACAGUGGGAGUGUUAUAGAUCUUGGAAAAACUUCCAGAUCUAAUCAAGAAGGAAAAAAACCUAUAGUUUAUCACUAGCACACGACUUGAGGUUUAUAAGCUAUCGUGUUUACAUAUUCCUAUUUAUAUGCCCAUUCCAGUUAAAGUUGGCUUUGCAUAUGAGUUCUGAGAGUUCUCAAUUGGAUGCAUAACAACUUGGAAGCAAUUGCAGUCCCUUGAGCUGCCAGGUGCCAAGAAGUUAAGUAUGCACAAGUUCAAUCCAUAAGAGUUUGGAUUUGUUACUAACUUUGUCUUAUGAUUAUGGUUUUGAAAAAUUCACAUGGAUAGUAACACAUACACCAGAAAAUCUAAGUGUCAUAAGGUUUCUCUCCGAUUCAUGAAAAUGAUGGCGAGGAAACGCUUUCACUAAGUAGAUUUUAAGUAGAUAGCAAUUGUGAUAUUUGCAUUCUCAAAGUCGUUAGUGGAGCGUAUGUGGUUAACCGACACACUAACAUGGACUUGUGAGAAAUGGAAAAGGUCUAAACAAUUGAGACUAUGAUUACGACAUCCCUUUUCAUAGUUCUAAAAUUGUUUAGACACACAUGUGUGCUAUCUAAGGAAAGGUGUAUGAUUUUGAUAAAGUUUUAUCAAUGCAUCUCGUAUAAGAAAUAUGAACUUUGGUAAGAAGGUGAAUAAAAUAUUGAUUUCUAGAAGUCCAGCAGAUUUCUGAAUACAUGUCAAAGCUAGUGGGAGCAUAAGCUUCAUGCUAAUAAUCAUCAUGCAAGUGGGAGCAUGAUAAUUAUAAUAAGUGUUGCAAGUUAGCAAUGUUAAUUAUAGAAAACAAAAGGUUUCAAUUGGGAAAAAAUUAUUUUGCUAUAAUUAAGGGAGAGGAAAUUAUACUUCAUUUCAAUUCUAAAAGCUUAGAUUGAAGUUUUAAUCAUCUUUAGUUAAUGAUAUAUAUGAAUUUUAUGUUGGAAUGACUUAACAUAAGGAAAUUCUAUAUAUGGUCCAUUAUUUGCGUUUUAAAAUUUGAUUAUGAUUACGACAUCCCUUUUCAUAAUCUGAAUUAUGAGAACUUGGCAAACAGAAAUAGAAAUAUUAUAGCAAAAGAUUGGUCUAGUAUCACAUCUUUAUGAAUUGUGUCCCAUAUGCUUCGAAUAUAAGAUCGAUUGCAUGUGCUACAAUAUUCAUCUGUUCUAAAUUUUUCCAAAUGCCCAGAGCGUUAAGAGGGAAAAAGUACUAGAAUUAGAUAUGACUAAUUUGAUUAAGCAAUUGUUGAUGACAAUCUCAGGUUUACCAAAGAUUGGUUGCUCAUGGGCAGUUAGAAAUAUAGUGUUAAUUUUGGAAGGACCAUAUUGACAUAUUCUGAAAAGAGGCAACUCUUGUUCAAGAGUAAUAGUCAAAAGGGGAAUAUGGAAAUAUUCUCAUAGGUGGAAGUUAUUCAUUAAAUCUGUGUAAGAUUAGGAAACUUAAUGCAAGAAGAAUGUUCAAAGGCAAUGAACUUUGAAUAUGAGACUUCGUUUCCAUGGAGUUGAUCUCCGUUGGAAUACUCUGUAAUGUCUGUUGACAAGUCUUUGUGACUUUGUGCAUAAUCAUUACAAGAGGACCAAUGCAUAUAAGUUUAGAAUCUAAUGGAUUUUGGUAAAUGGCAGGAAUUUGGAAUUCUUGCAUUUGCGGUAAUGAUUUGGGAUUGUGAAAUGAGUAUCAUUGGAAUUAUGUUCAAUCGAUCUAUUUCAUAUAAUAAAGAUCAUAGACAAACUUAGUGUGCAUACUUGGUGUAUGGCAACUAAUGUUUGGAAAACAUAGUGUGCAUACUUGGUGUAUGGCAUGACUAGUGUUUAGAAAAAAACCAUAGUGCACAUGCUUGGGGCAUGGGACAACUAUUGUUUUAAUUCAAGUAUAAAGUUGAUAGUUUGAAACAGUAUACAAUGAAUGAUGGAUAAUCAAUAUGGUGAUAAAUAAAAGAUGUUUUAUUUAUAUUCAUAAGUUCUGAAACCAUAUUGGAUUCGAUUAUUCUUGUGUUUCACUUUGCAUGUUUUGACUUCCAGAAUAACUAAGUCGCUUUUCCUGAAUGACUAAGUUAUUCAAACCAUCCACAGUCGGUCAUAUGUUGGAAGUAGAUAUGAAUUAAGACUGUCAUGGGUUGGCUUGUAGAGGUCUAAGAUGUUGGACAAAGGGGUACAACACUCAUGAGUGCUCAUAAGUUCUGAGUAUUGGAUUCAACCCGCGCUCAUUGGAAUCACUUCNGAUAUCUGGGCCCCUCAAUGAUUUUGUGUUGACCCAUGUACCGGGCCCGGUCAGAACUAAGUUGAUGUGUUCAAAUAAGUUCUAUGUCAAACAAAUCGGAAAUCAAGAAACAAAUUGCUGGACAAUAAGUAAGACAUUGUUCCAUGUAUUUGUCCGGCUGAUAUCUAGAACAGAGGAUUAUAUGAUUACUUAUCUUAAAUGGAGUAUCAUCGUCAUCUCAGUUUCGCAAGACCUUGAAAGUGCUACGAUUGCUGAUCGGUUCCUAAAGUUAUUCUUGCAAAUAUAGUUAUUAGACUUAUCCAAGUGGGAGACUAUUGGAUUAGGUGUCUAAGUUCAUAACUAUUCUGGAAUGUACUUGACCCGAUUAGCAUGGUCCAUUUGGGUUGCAUGACAUCAUGCAGUUGGAUAGACCAAAAUGAGUGAAAUAAUACUUAAGGUUGUUAAUAUAUUAUAAGUUCUAAUAUAUUAAUAAUAUUAAUUAAUUAGUAUUGAUCAAGAAUUAAUUUUGUAUUAAUUAAGUGAUCAAAAGAAGACUAAUUAAAUAUAUGGGUUGAUUGUGAGAAUUACCCAAUACUUGUAUAGUGGGCUAAUACUCCAUGGAUUAUCAAGUUGGGCUAAAACCCAUAAGAUGCUCCAUGGUGUCUUUGAACCCAUGGAUCAUGGAAAUUAAUAGUCAUGUCAAUUAGGGUUUACUUGGUGUAACCCUAAUUAUGACACACUAUAUAGGCAACAUGGUGUAACCCUAAUUAAAAGUUCCCUAUGUAUGCUAGAUAGGUUAUGAACCUUGGAAAAUCAAUUUUGCAUGUAUCAUAGUAAAACAUAGAUCCAAGGUUUCCAGGGUUGCAUGUACACCUUAGGAGUGUUAUAAUGCUCAAAACCCCAACGAUCAUAAGGUUCAGGGCCUUUGGAGAAGAGAAAUCCAGACCCAUUUAGGUAUGGAUAAAGUAAUUAAGGUUAUUCGGGAGCUGGAUUGUGUCUUGGAGCUGGAGGGUGUAUCGGUAAAGUGGCAGUUCGAGCUCUUUAUGGAUUUUGGGUUUUAUUCGGAAGGCUUUAAGGCUUGGGCGUAUUAUUAGGAGCGUAGGUCUUCUUGCCACCUCUUCGUGGAUAUAAGGUUCGCCAGGAACGGACCUCAGAUGAGGAAGAUAUGACACUUUGAAGUUAUUGGCAACAUUGUUCCCUAAUGGAAAAGAGUGGCAAGAAGAUACCAUGCAUGCAAGGUGGCCAGCAUGGAAGUACGCCCAUAGUAAGCUGGGGGUAUGCCCAACGUAGAGGACUUAAUGGACGCGUAUGUCGGAGGCGUACGCCCAUCGUACUUUUAGAGUCCCUAAACCCUAAUUUUUUAGGUUAUGCACUAUAUAAAGAACAUUAUGACUCAAAUCCUAGCCUCCUUACCAACUUCUUAACCUCGGAAACCCUAGAGAGCCUCUCAUCCUUCAUCCUUGUGUGUUUUUGGCUUUGUGAAAUUCUUGGUGGUGUUUAGAAGCUUGAAAGAAGAAAGGAGAAGUUGGAGAAGAAGAGCUUGAGUAUCUUGAGCUCAAGGAUCUGAGUUUACAUCACUAUUUGGCACUCAUUGGAGUUAAAAAUCUUUCAACUUGCCUCAUGAAUGCUUAGAUCUAUGUUAAUGGAGUUUUAGACCUCCUUAGGUCCCAAGAAUGGAUUUUUAUGAUUCAAUUUCGUUUCUAGGCUUAGGGAUGCCACCCUUAGUGCUAAAUGUGUCCCAAUAUCAUUAAAGGUUCGAUCUUUAAGAUCCUUUUGUGACCAUGAAUGAGUUCUAGUCAUUUCCAUGAAAGUUAGUUGCUAUAUUCAAAGUUUGGGUCCAAUUGUUGGGUUGCAAGCCACCAUUUAAUCGACUUUGUGGAUUAAGACGUUGAAGAGGACUUGGAUCUGUGAUUAUAGCUUUGGAAUAUAGUAUUAAGUGCUUAAUGGGAAAAGUGGUUUAACAGAGCAGUACGUUGUUCGUACAUGCAUGUACGCGGAGCGUACAAGCCAUACAGUUAUACGCUCAGCGUACAAAAAAGUACGCCCCGCAUACUCAACAGAUGUGGGUUUUGCGUGUUUUGAGCCUCAGUUUGGGCCAUAAAUUGGACAUUGUUUCUUUGGGCCGUCAUACGUCAGAUAUUUUGGGCUUAGAAUAUUUUUUGGCUUUAGGGUUAGGCCCAUUACAGGGGUUGGGCCCAAUUUAGCAAAUUAGGCCAUUAGUGGGCCACUAGUGGGCUUGGGAAGUCUAACUAGUAUUGGGCAUUUAUGUUGGGUUUUGAGCAUUCUAACACUCCUAAAGUGUUCAUGCAACCCUAAAUACCUUGGAUCUUUGUUUUCACUAAUUAUACAUGCAAUGGUGUUUCCAAGGUAUUAAACCUAUAACUAGCAUACAAUUGGCAUAUACCACACAAGAAUCUAGUUAGGAUAACAUACCUUAUGGUGGAGAUUGAAGUCUUGAUAUAUCUAGCCUUAAGAGCUUAGCCCCAAUAGUGUGGAAGCCUCAAGUGGAAUCACAACACAUUAAGGACAAAGGUAGGACUUGAGAGAGAAUCUCCAUGCACUCUAAAACCUUCAUGAACUCUAAGAACAUGCGCACACACUAGGGUUGGCGGUUUAAGGUCAUCAUAUAUGUAUUUAUAUGUGUUGAAUACUAAGAGUCAUGGGUAUAACCCAAACCCAUACCCAUUGGUAUUAUGAUCCAUGGUUUACAUGGUCCAACUCUUUAUGUAUCCAUACAUAAACUUGGUCCAGCAUGGAUUAUAAGCCCAACACAUAUAAAUAUAACUAUUUACCAUAAUUAGUCCCCAUAGAUUCAAUUAGUAUCUUUUGAUCACUAAAUUAAUUCCAAAUUAAUUCUUGAUCAACACUAAUUAAGACAUAUGAUUUCAUAUUAAUAUAUUAGAACUUAUAAUAUAUUAAUAAAUCAUAUAUAACCUCUUCUCUCAAAAGUCCAUCCUAACAAUUGUCCUGAUGAUAUGCAACCCAAAUGGACCAGGCUACUCUCGGGUCAAGUACAUACCAAUAAUAGUUAUGGGCUUAGACAUCUAAUCCAACACUUUCGUAUUAUGGUUUUGGGCCUUAGGUUGAGGCCUAUGUGAAGGGAUUGGGAUCAAUUGGAAAUUAGGCCAUAUAUUGGGACUUGUGGAAGUGUUUAUCUUUUGGGCCAAGGUUUGGGUAGAGUUUAAUUUGGGACAAGAGUAUGCGAGGGGUAGAAUGGUAUUUUACCUCAGUGAGGAUUUAUGGUUAAGUUAUGAGAAUCUUGGACUUAUCUAAUUUGUGUGAUGAUCAGUAACUCGAGGAGUUGAGAGAUCAGCAAUUCGGGGAUCUACCAGCUAGCAGCCAAAGGUUUAUCCGUGGGAUUCUGCAGUCAGCUUGUGAGGUGAGUUUUUUUUCUAGUAGGAACGGGUCGAAGGCACCAAUGUCGUCCCGUUUAUAUAUGUUAGUAUGUUUUGGACUUAGGUCCAAUGUUGGGCGGUGCCCAAUGAAUGUUUGUAUGCUUGAUAUCUUCGUGAUUCUUGCAUGUGUUUGUUUUAUAUGUUUCCAGACUUCGGUCCGAUGCUGGGGAAAGCCCGAGGAAUGUUUGUAUGCCUCCGAAUUUUGGCCCGAUAUCGGGCGAGGCCUGAGGAAUGUUUACAUGUAUGUUUCCAAGCUACGGUUCAAUGACGGGUGGUACUCGAUGAAGGAAUGCAUGUUUAGUUAUACUUGCAUGUCGUCUUUGUGAUAUUUGUAUGUGCCUGGUAGGGAGGUGAGUGUGGGUGGGGUCCCAUAUCUCAUCACUACCUGAGAGUGGACGGGGUUCCAUAUCUCACCAUUAGCAGAGUAGGGGAGGGGCCCAUGAUAGUCGAGGCCUUAAUCCUAGAAUAUAUAGUGUUGUGUAUGAUUCUUUAUGUACUAGCAUGAUUAUAUGUUAUUGUUUGUAUGUGUAUAGCAGGCGGGGCCCAAAGACAGGCGGGGUCUGGUAGAAACAAACUUGUAUACCGAGCGGGGCUUGAUGCCAGGCGGGGCCUGAUGUCGAACUCUGUCCGAUGCCGGGCGGGAACCGAGGAAGGGUUGGGGCCCAUUUUAUGUGAUUAUGUGAUUAUGUGUAUGGUAUAUGGUAGUUUGGGGAGACUCACUAAGAUUCAUGCUUACAAUUUUCCAUUUUGGUUUCAGGUACUUCUGGUAGCAAAUGGAAGAGCUUGGGAUGACUACAAUGCACACACACCAUGUUUUUAGCCUGGGAUGUUUUUACUCUGAUAUGUUUUGAUAGAUGUUUAUGAUAUUUUGAGAAACAAUAACUUAUGAUUUUCAUGUGAUGUUUGGUAGCUAUGGUUUAACUAAUAAUUAAAAUCAAAUUUUUGGACCAUAUUUUUGGGAUGUUUCAUUACCCAACUCCAUGUUUUUUCAAGUUUCAUGGAAAUUGAGUUCCUCGAAUCGGUGGAACACUCCACACUUCCGCUACCUCUUGACUUUCUUGCGAUACUUACAACACAAGAUCACAAGGGAGCCGGGAAAAUGGUGUUGGAAUAGUGUCUAAGGCUGCAACUAUAUUAGGAAAGUAUUUGACCCGAUUGUGCAUGGUCCUUUUGGGUUGCCUUCACCAUAGCAACUUGACAGGAUGAUUUAUUAUGAGAGAAUAAAUAUUAUUAAUAUAUUAUGAGAAUAAUAUAAGGAAUAAUAAUAUUGUUAUUUGAUUAAUAUAAUUCAUAA
rnacentral:lncRNA from 1 species